AUAUUUUAUCUACGAGGUGAUUUAUCUUAUUUAGAAAAAAUGAUUUGAAGGCUGAAUAUGGCAUUCCAUUCUAAAUAUUUCAUCACACUCCUUAUCAAUCAACUAUACAAAUUUCUUUAGUAAGUCAGUGAGAUAUAUGGAACAAAAUAUUCAUGCAUCCAAAUAAGGCCGAAGACAGAUUAGAUGCAAUGAAUUUGGUCAGAUUCAGCAAAUUCAAUCAGCGAGAAAUAGCUAAAUUCACUUAAUCGCCCUGUCGAUAGUAAUUGGCGCUGCCAAUAUUAUCAUCUGAUGACACCACUCUUAACAGUCAACUCUCAUACAAAAUUCAGGAAAACAUUAGUAACACCAAAUACUUGGGGAGAGUUCCUUAUCCAACCACCAAUAAGACGACUUUAACUCCAACGCAACUAAUACAAACCAAAUUGGGUCAAUACUCAAGGUAAAGAACACCACUUCGAAACCAGUGCAAUCAAACACAAGCAUCACCUGAUGUGAGGAUGGUAUCAAGAACCCUAAUCGCCUGCUCCUCUCCGAGCGGCUUCGUUUGCUCCGGGCCCGUGCACACCUUCGCCUGCGCCUCCAGCACCGUCCGAUUCGGCUGCGGGAUCUCCGGCGGCCGGUACGAGGUCGAGAGCGCCGGGUUCCGGAGGUCCAUCUCGAGGAGCCCCGCCUCGUCGAUCGCCGCCGCCGCAGACGAUCCGGCCCUCGUACGGGUCAAGAAGCGAAGGGAGCUGGGGUUCUUGGAGAGGGAGAGGCUCGCGCGCUUCGUGGGGAGGGAGAAGGAGGGGAAGUUAGGGUUAGGGUUGGGGUUCGGUUUGAGGAGGAUCUUCAUGGUGUGGUGAGAGAGGAGGUGGGGGAGGAAGAUGUAGGGACUGGGCUGGUCGUCGGCCUCGGUGAGCUACUGAGCUCCUCGAUGAGACGAGCUGGGAGAAACGGAAGGACUUCUUUUUUUUAAAUAAGGACUUUUUUACAAAAUAACCUUCUACAAUAUUAAAAUUUGCCAAUUAUCCCUUUCAAAAUUUUAUUUUGAAAACUAACACUCAUUUCGCCACGUAGGCACCAGGAUGGGUAUUUGUUAUGAAGGCAGCAAAUCGUUCACCGCCCGUCUUCCUAAUAUAACUUUAGAAGACGGUGAAUGAUUCACCACCUUCACUAAAACGGUAAAUCAUUCACCGCCUUUAGUGUAAAUUUCCCACCACGCAACUUAGAAAUUUUCUAAGUCGUAAAGGGAAUAAUGUACCUUGAGAAGGCGGUGAAUCGUUCACCGCCUUCAUUAGAUAUACCUCAUCCCGACACCUCUCCUUCUCUCUCGCGCUUUCGUUCUCUCUCUCUCUCUUUCUUUUCAGGAGCGCUCGUCGGUCACCGCCGCCCCUGCCGCCGUCGCCCCCGCCAGUCAAUGAUCGCCAUCCCCCCCACAGUUGCCCCUGCCAACCCCGCCGUUGCCCCUGCCAACCCCGCCGUUGCAGGUAUUGAGAUUGCUACCUGCCAGAUUUUCUGUGUAUAUUUAGUUGAAAUUUUCAGUUAAUUAAGUUUUCUGGAAUUAAAACCCAAAAUCAUUCUUAGCCCCGAUGCAACAAUAAGACUUAGGAACCAUUAUUAGAGAAAACUUGAAUAUACAACUAUUCAUUAGAUAACAAUCAACGAAAAACUACAUUUCAGAGUAAGAAAAACUUAUGGGCAAUAUUAAUGGAGUAAACGAUGUCAUUUUUCUCCACUUUCCUUAUUAAAGGCUGCGUUUGGUUCAGGUAUAAGUAAGAACCGCUAGUUCCAGAGAUAGAUACAAGUUCAGAUAUAACCAGGAACUAAAUCAAUUUUGCGUUUGGAUGAAAAUUGGGUUGUUCCUAGGAAUAAAUUAAAUAGUGUUUGGAUGGUUAGAUUGGAACAAGAGGAAUAAGAGUUAUAAUUUAAAAUUAAAAUUAUAUUAUGUAAUUAAUUAACAUCAAAAUAUUACUUAAAAAUAGAUAAUAAAUUAAUCAUUAAUAGUUAAUUAUAAAUAAUAAUAAUUUUUAAUAAUUAAUUAUAAAUAAUAAAUUAAUAAUAUCGAUUAUCUAAUUAAUAAUAAUAAUAAUAUCAAUUAUCUAAUUAUUAUUAAUAUUUAUUAAUAAAUAUUAAUAAUUAUUAAUAAUUAAUUAUUAGUUAUAAAUUAAUAAUAAUAAUUAUCUAAUUAUUAAUAAUUAAUUAUAAAUAAUAAUAUAAUAAUAAUAUUGAUUAUCUAAUUAUUAGGGAUAAUAAUUAUUAAUAAAUAAUAAUUAUUAUUAUUAAUUAUUAAUAAUUAAUUAUUAGUAAUAAAUUAAUAAUAAUAAUUAUGUAAUUAUUAAUAAUUAAUUAUAAAUAAUAAAUUAAUUAAUUAUGUAAUUAUUAAAGUAAUAAAUAAUUAUUUAAAUAUAUUAAUUAGAUUAAUUAAUAAUUGAUUGCUAUUAAUUAACCUUAUUCUCAUUAAGGAACAAGCUUGUUCCAGCAAACUAGUGGAACAGCAGUUCCAGCCUUAAUUAUUCCAGAAUUUUCGGAACUGCUGUUAUCGGAUACCAAACAUCACGUUUGGGAACAAAAGAGGGAACAAGGGCUUAUUCCCCCCUUUGUUCCCGAACCAAACGUAAAGGUUUAGGAUGGGUGUAAAAACUAAGUUUAAAAUGGUUAAUCUGUUGCCAAUUUUACAAUCGGUGUAAAACUAGAUUUAGAAAGGUUAACUCUUUUCUUCUAUUGGGAGUAGUAGUAGUCCUAUUCAGAUUCAACUUUUUGAUAAAUAUGAGCUCUUUCCUGUUAAAACUCUCAAUGAAUUGAAGCGUAAAAUGUUAAAAGUUUAUCUCCCAUUAAGCAAUCAAUUGGUGAAGAAUCCAAGUCAGAAUAUGGAAAGCAAAGACAUCUCUACUUAAUAACGACAUUCUCAGUUUAGAAUGUCUUAUAAUAGAUAAGAAGGUCUUUAUCGCAUUUCAUUCCUCAUAAUUUAUAAAAAAAUUUAAAAAAAAAUUAACUUUUCUUUGUUAUUUAAUUGCUUGCAUUAUUGUAUUUCAACAGAGAUACGCGAUGCAAGCAACUAUUCAUAAAUACUAUGCCGAAUACUUUAGAUCUUUAAUUAUUGGAGGAUCCAUGUAUAUUGUCGAAAAUUUUAAUCUGAUCUUGGCAAAAAAUAAUUGCGAUGUUGUUGAUAAAAAAUAUAUGAUGCAAUUCAGCAAAAUGGACAUGUUUUGUCAAAGUAACAGAUGGCAUCGAAACGUUUUCACUAUACAAUUAUUUCUUCGUCAAGUACGACUAUAUCAAAACUAAGAAACAAACUGCAUCCUGUCUUAUAGGUACUAUUUUUUUAGGAAAACUUUAAAACUCUUCCUAUGGUUUCGCACUUUCUCACUUUAGUACCAUGUGGUUUAAAGUGCAUCAAGUUAGUGUCCCGUGGUUUCAUUUUUAUCUUUUCAUCAACUUUUCCGUUAAUAUUUUGUUAAAUUAUAUACAAAAAACUUUAGAUACCCGACCUAGGUUUAUCGAAUAUUCACUUUAAUACCCUUUAGUUUUAAUUUUGUCGCUGAUUUAACAAAAAAAAAUUAGUGAAAUCAAUAAUAAAAAAGAUAAAAAUGAAACCACAGGACAUUAAAUUGAUACACUUUAAACCACAGGGUACUAAAACGAGAAAGAGUAAAACCCCAAGGGGGUAUUUGAAGUUUUUUCUUUUUUUUUAACCUUUUUAUGGCAAAGCAUAAAUUAUCCAAAUAAAUUCCUUUAUGUUUGGACUUUCUCACAUGUUAUAGAAACCAUUGUAGCUACUGCAACUGUCUCCUAUACGUAUGUUACACAGCAACAAAUUCUGAUAAAAAAAAUUGCAAAUCUAGAAUUUGGAGUGAGUGUUAGAUGUAUGCCCUAGAAGCCAACCAGGCCGACACAUGUAUUCUUUCUAGAAUAUAAAUUUGUAUUUGACUUUGAAAUAUUAUGAAUAAAUUUAGGUUCAUAUUUUCAUUCAUAUUGUGUAUGUGUCCAUGAAUCGUCAAAGGAAUUAAUAAGAUAAUUACUAUAUUCUCAAAAAUUGAGAAUUUGAGACAUAUGUUAUUGGUGGUUAAUUUCUAAAUGCUCCCGAUCAAUGAAUCAUCACGAGGACGGUGAUUGAUCCGGUGAGAUUGGUGCAUAUGUCGUUUCCCUUUUUGGGUAGACGAGUCUCGAGUCGAUAGUGUGGGGACACUGAAGCGAAUAUGCAGGUGGUUGUAGAGAACAAGGGUAUCGAGCAUGACUAACGCGAGAAGUCACUUGGAUGUCUACUCACUCGUUAAUGACUUACUCAAUGUUGCAGUAGUGUGACUGGUCUUUUGACCUGCGAUGCUUCGGCUAUUCACAAUAAGGUUACUGUAGCUUGAUUGUACAUACACUUGGUCCUUAGCCAUAAGGGUCCUUGCGGUGCAUGUUGGCUGCAGUAGGUUCAUUAUAAGAAUAGGUUGCGCACUUAGAUGGAAUCUAUCUCCCUUGGUAGAUAGGGACGUUAGUCCUAUGUGAUUUAUGAGACCGAGUUUAGAAGACCUUGGCCAGAUCAGAGUGAAUAGCAGAAAUGGGUUUCCGAUAUUAGAAACUCGAGUCAAAUAAAUUUAACAUAUGAUAGACGAUGAGGUUUGACGAGUUAUUCCAUGACAUUCAUCUAGUCGGGACUCAUGAUAAAAGGACUGUAUCACACGGUAACUGCACCAGGAGGUUCAGUAUUCCAUUCUACUGAAAUGCUACUACAUAAUGCUAGGCGUAGCUGGUGGAUUGUGACUCAUGAAAAUUAUCUAGAUGAUCGAUAAUUCUCAUUGAGCUGAGUUAAAAUUGUUUCGAUCCACUGAAAGAAGUUUUAAUGAUAUUGUUGAUAGUGAUCAAAAUAUAUCUCACUACCAGAUAGAAUAGAACCUAUAGGGUCACACACAUAAGAGGUUGUGAUUGAUCGGAUAGCUAGAUCGCGAUUAUUGAAUCGUCGGAGGACCUAAUUGUCAAUAUGUUGAUAAUUGGACUAAUUUGUAAUUAUUACAAAUUAGUGGUAUUAAAGUGUAAAUAUUACAAUAGAGGACUUACUAAUAGUUAGUACAUUAUAGGGGGAUUUAUGUGUAAAUGUUGCAUUAUUAAUUUGAUAUGAUCAAAUUAAGAUAAAGUUUAAGUCGAAUCAAAUUAGGAUUUAAUCGAUCUAACCAAUUAAGAAAAGGAUAAAUUUAAAUCUAGAUUUGUACUUAUCCUUAAUUGUUAUUAUAUUAUUAGAAAGAGAAUUAUAUUCCUCUAUAUAAUAUAUGGGAGUUUUUAGAAAACUCUAGUCGUCAUAUCUCUUCUCCUCUCUCUUCCAUCUUCUAACAAGAAAGACGUCCUUUGCAAUGGAGCUAGCACCCGGUGAGGACAUCGAUCAAAUCAAUAACCUUGUGUGGAUACCUAUAGAGGCCGGACGCAUGUGCGGCUUCAAGAGAACCCAAUUCCACGAUCAUCAAAUUAAGGUGAAGAUCUACCCACGCAAAAGGUAAAGAUUUGAUAUUGCUUUCUCCUUUAAUCUUAAAUAACAUAAGGGAUCCUAAUUGCGUGGUUUUUGAGAUCUGAUCUCGAGUUUUUUUUUUUAAAUCAAAUUUGUUUGAUUUCUUUUUCGCUACGUUUUUACCGUAUGCAAUUUUCUAACAGCGAGUACUAAAAAUAUCCUAAUAAAUUUAUGAAUAGACUUUUACGUUCCUAUAGCUAAAAAUAUAUAAAAAUUUGCUAGUUUUUUUGUAGCGACAAUACUUUGUCUAUUACCUUGUGGGAUGACCUUGCAAUUAAUUUCCAUAAUCAGCUAAAUGCGCAAAAAGAAGAAGGCGGUCUAAUUAUUGUUAUUCUUGCAAGUAUAACAAUACGAAGCUGUAGAGGUACACUAAUUUUUAUUUUUUUUUGGUUUCUAGCAUCUUAUGGAUUUGAAUUUGUGUGAUCUAAAGUUAAUUUUAGCUUUUUAUAACAGAUGAAGUUUACGUAUCAAUAUGCUCAAAAUCAAUGAUAUAUAUUAAUUUACUAGAGUAGGUUUUGUGUGCUAUUUGGAGCACGAAAGCCUCCGUGCUCCUAAGCCAUUUUCGAUGAUGGAGCCUUCGAAUUGACGAUCGGCUCCAUUAGACUUGAUCUCGCAUGUUUGAAGCAUCUAGAAAAUAAAUUUUGCUAUUUUCGAUAUCAUUUACAUAGCGAUCGAAAGUGUUCAAAAUCAACUGUUGAAAAUAAAAAUCUCACAAAAAGUGGUGAUAUAGCAUUAAAAUUUUCUAUCAAAGAUAUUGAUCUUGCAAUAAAUAGAACAAAAAAUUUUCUAUCAAAAUUUCAUCUGAUUUGAAUACUUCUACAUCGUUAAACUCUUAAACGAUUUACAUCAACCAUUAAAAAUUAUUGAUUUUAAACCCUUUCGAUUGCUAGGUAAAUGGUAUCGAAAAAUCGUAAAAUUUAUUUUCCAGGUACGUCAAAUACGAUAGAUCAAGUCUAACGGAACUGAUCGUUGAUUUAGAGGUCCUAUCAUCAAAAAGGUUUAGGAGCACGGAGCCCUCCAUGCUCCUAGUAACAUACAAGACCUACUGUAAUUUUCAAAUACUAAUAGUUGUGGCGUAACAAUCACUAUAAUAAAAACGUUGUAUAGCGACACUUUUAAGUGUCGGUACAGGUCCAAAAAAGUGCUGCUGACUAAAUUACCGACACUUUUUGAAAGUGUUGCUAUAUGUGGUGUCACUAUAGGUAGUGCCGUAUUUGGCACCCACUCCUCGAGCGACCUGUGGUGGAAGGAUACGUGGCGAUCGUAGCUCUCUACGGUCCCUGCGAGAUCCUCACAGCCGAACUCCAGCCGCUUGAACCCUAACUCGUCAACUGUGGCGGUAGAGAAGGAGGAGGGGAGAUAGUGAUUAAUUUUUCUUUUUUUUUCUUUUUUAUAUGUAAUCGGGCCGAGUGGACUGUGUGUGGUUGGCUGAGUAGAGGAACUUUUUAUUUUUGAUUGGAUUGGGCUUUAUAUUUAGGCAUUAGUAGAUUUUUUAAAAAAAAUUUGGUAUAAAUAGGACACUCAUUUAAAAGUGUCCCAAAAAUGUGUCCCUAUAAUCUAAUUCUGUUGUAGUGACUCUUCGAACAUGAAUAACUAUGCUAUUGCACAUUUUCCUCUGAAACAUUUUGAUUUAUUACAAAAAAAUUUUGAAUGCAGCAAACAACUACUGAAAGCACCAAUUCAGUGUUAGAAUCUCUAGACAAACCAAUUCUUAGCCCUUAUGAACAAGUAUCGAGAAAUCAUAAAAAUAUUGCUGGGUUGCUUGAGAUAAACAUGUCUACCAUCCAAUUAAAUUUGUUAUUGCUAUUUUCUCUCAAAUUUUUUCAUAUUCUUUUUUCACUCAAUUUUUAUUUUGGUGACUAAGUCAUCUUUUAUCCUAUUAAACACUAGGAUACAAAAUAUACGUGCAAAGCUAGAUUAGUAUUGUAACAUACCGAACUUCUAUAAUUAUGAAGUUACGGUGUAUGUUAGUUUUGAAAGCCAUUAGAAUGGUUCCGGUGAAGUUCGGAUGCGUUAGGGUGUUUUCGGUACGCGUCGGGCGCGAAAACGGAACCCGAAAAGCUAUGAUUAGAUCUUGGCCGAAAUCCGGCAAGGCGUGGAUGAAAAGAUGGUUUGAACACGCUCGAAAACAUGUAUUGGGGGUCUCGGUGUGAUUUGAGGCGAAUCGGAGACCCACGAAGUAAAAACGAGUGAAAACGGAGAAGAAACGGCAAAUGGCUGAAAUUGUGGCUAAGUACCAAAAAUGCAGAUUUUCUGAACCUACGGGGCCCGGUCCCUGGCUUCAAGGACCAGUCCCUGAGACCCAAAAAUGCCCAGUUUUGUGCAGUGGCAGUUUUGUAAUUAAGGGGAAGUUGGCUUAUAAAGGGGGCUUUUUUUUCUUCCUCCUUCCUUCACAGCCACAUCCACACACCCACACAUGGAGUUAGAGAGAGAGAGUCUCUUCUCUCUCUAGAUAUCUCCUCCAUCUCUCUAGAUCCAUCUCCUAAAUUCGGAUGCUUAGAGGAGAAGAACCUCGUGAACGCGUGGGAGGCGACAGUUCGAGCCUUCGUGCGCCCGUUUGAGCGGCGUGCUUCCGUCUCGGCGUUCAAAUUUUGGUAAGCUUUUUGGAUUUGGAUAAAUCCUUAAUGCUUGAUGUUUUAUGGAUCCCUAGAGUAUUCUAAGCAUGUUUCCCCAUAAAUUUCAUAUAGUAUUUGUUGAAAUGGGUGAUCUAGGGCUUAGGAAGGGGAUUUGGAAUCUUGUGGGUUUGAUCUAAAUUGAACCUAUGUAAACCUAAUUGCUAGGUUUCCUGACGCGUUGGUGAAGUCGGUUUGGCGAUUCGUCGAGCCUACGUGAAGAUAUCGAAGAAAAUGACGUUUUUGGCUUUGUUUCUGCCUAGAAGGCCGAAGCGACGUCCAAAAAUCACGAAAACAGAUUCCUAACAUCGCGGCAUCUAGAUAAAGACCCUUAAAGACCCUAGGCCGCAGAUUGAUGCGCGGUUGGUGAUCAUUUGCAAGAUCGGGCCGAACCGGACAACGUGUGCCGCGGGAGGCCGAUUGCAAAUGUCGACAAGCAAUCGGAAAGCGAUUUAAGGUGGGUUGUGCUCACCGAAGUUAUUAGCUCGCUUCCAUGUUGAAGCGAAGUGAGAUUGAUUAUUGAUGCGUAUAAUGGUAGCUAGUUGUAAAUCAUAUGAAUGCAUAAGGUGAAUACUAUGUUAAGCUACCAAAGAAUGCAUGUUUGCAUGUUAUAGAAAUGCUAGAUGAAUGCAUGUGAUCGAUGCUAGUUGAAUACAUAAGAUAAAUGGCAUAUGAAUGUGAAUAUUAUAAGAAUAUACUAUAUGGAAUGCCUAAUGACAUGUUAUAAGAAUAUGCUCGAUGGAAUGCAUAAUGACAUGUUGUAGAGAAUACUAAAUGGAAUAUGCAUGUUAACAUAUAUUGUGGACCAUGCUAGAUUAUAUAUGCAUGUUGACAGGUUGUAGCCUGUGAUGGAUUCAUGUAGAUGUGAGCUUGGGUCGACAACUCUAGGUUGAUUAGAGAACUUGACAUUGGAAAACUAGAACAUGAAAACUAUAACACUCGACGUGGACAAGUAGGAUGUCAAGUAGAUCGAGUGGCAUUGAACCUAGUGUCAUGAACAUAGGUUGGAUACGAGUGACAUUGAACCUAGUGUUAGUAAACAUAGGUUGAACAAGUGAACCUAGAAGUUGAGAUCUAGGUAGAGAUGACAUAGAACCUAGUGGGUUGAACCUAGGUUAUGGACUAUAGUGGUAGUAGCCACUAGGUUGUUAUGGGUCGAACCUAGAUAGGUCGACAUUGUAGGGUUGCAGAUGACCCUUAAGAAGUAGAAAUGGAUUCUGGAAUCUUAGGACUUAUGGAACACUGAGAGGAGGUGUUGGGUGUGUGUGACGAUUUCGCCGCCCGAGGCUGAACUAUUGUUGGGCGUGUGUGACGAUUUCGCCGCCAGAUGGUUAAAUUGGUUAUUGGAUUAUGCCGCUAGGUGACUUGAGCCAGUGUUGGGCGUGUGCGACGAUUUCGCUGCCAGGUGACUAAGUUAUGGAGUGCGGUGGGCUGUUGCAGCAGCCAGUGCGCGGUAUUCCACGGAUGAUUGACUUGAGGCCGAGUCAUGUGGAUAGCUUGAUUAAGGUGGUAGAAACCUUAAAAGCUAGUAAUAAAUGGCAAGAGCUAAAGUAGCAGAGGCCUUAGAAGUAAGUUGGACUUGAGUUGUGAGCCUAAGGUAGUAGAAACCUUAGAAGCUAGAUGACAUGAGCUAUGGAUAGCAGAGUUGAAUGUAGGAUCAAUUGAUCUACUAGUUGAUUGCAUAAUUGCAUGAUUUUCAUAUUAUAUGUUAAGAGGCAUAACAUGUAUUUCAAUACUUGCAUAAAUAUCUGUUGGAUAUCUGUUGGACUAACAUGUUGCAGUGCCUCCUUGGACCUGGUGGGUCGAGCUCUUCCCUUGGGUGGCCGUAUCCAAUGGGAACUAUGGACAAUAGUUCUCACCCCCGUGUUGUUUUUGGGGGUACAGGUUCACACGCAAGCGGCGCGGCGACGUGAAGAAAAAGUGUAGCUCCGUAGAUAGCGCCCUACCCCAGUGACCAGAGAUAGCAGUACCCUGAGUUGGUCUAGCUUAGGGAUGGAAAGGAAAUGAAAGAACCAAAAUUGUAAUAAAUUUGUAAUAACUUAGAUUGUAUUUGGAUGAAAGCAAAUUGUAAAAGUGAUGUACAACGCAUGUAUGUGAAUGUUUGUAAUAGCUAAUUAUUUUAUGCUGUUGAUACUUCCUUAUGCAAUCUUUACUUGAAUACUGUUCCUAGUUGGAACCUCUUGUAUUGUAUUGAUUGUGACACCUAGGACGUACAGGGGAAACUCUGUCCGUUCGGCGGUCUGUUGGUGUCCUCGAACCUGACCAAAUAGGCGGGUGUCGGGGCGUGACAAGUAUCUAUAGAUACAACUUAUGGAUAGUGAUAUAAAGCCUGCUACAAUUUCAAGACAGCAAUGAAGGAUUUUGUUGAUACUUUCUUGUGCGCACGGUGUAGAAAAAUGGCCGAACUACUGUCCCAUAGUAUUAUUUUUGGAUAAAUACUCAUACAUAUAUAUUACUCUAAGAAAGUGAUAGAGUUAAAUUAAUUACAAAGUUCAAGCAAUAUUUAUAAAAUUUAACAACAAAGUAUUAUAAAACAUAUAAGAAAAUAAAGGAAUAAAGUAUUCACGUUUGAUACGACGUAGUCUGUCCAGUCACCGUCGCCCGCUCACGGACCGAUAUAGCUCCUUGCUCAACCCACAACGCUUGCUCAAUCGACGCAUCCAAGGUACGCAACCUCUGCGCCUGUACCAACACAAAAAUCUCUGGCCUCAAUCCUCUCUCGUACAGAUAGACCUUAUCCAAGGCGAUACAUCGGCGCUCCCCAAGGCGAUAUACUCGCUCUCACAUACCCCUUAUCCAUUAGAUUCUGAAGCUGCGCCUUUAGCUUUCUCAAUUCUGUCGGUGCCAUCUGAUAAGAUACCUUCGAGAUUGGUGCAGUUCCAGGAACUACAUUAAUCACAAACUCAAUCUCCCUCUCUAGCGGCAUCGUCGUCAACUCCGGGGGAAACAUAUCCGGAAACUCGCGGACUACAGGGAUAUCCUCGAGUCCCAGUGUCGUCGUAGGUACCUAUACAACCGUCGCGAAAAAAGCGAUGUAUCCUCUACUCAUCAACUGUCGAGCCCUCGCCGAUGAAAUUCAUGUGGCAAAUAAUGUACUCUUGCAGCCUCUAAAAACAAACUCCUCCUGGUCUGGCUCGCGGAACGUUACAGUCCUCGCUCCACAAUUGAUAGUAGUAUAAUACCGCGCUAGCAAUUCCAUGCCGAGCACAACGUCAAAGUCCUGCAGCUGCCCUAACACCAACAAGUCUGUGGGCAUGAUACACGAAUCCAGCUGCACCGGACACGACCAACAAUACUCUGCAACCUGUAAGACAUGGUCGGAAAUCUGCACCUCUCGUGCCUGUGUCAAUGGCCCUAACUCUAAACCAUGCAACAAAGCAAAUGCUUGGAUAACAAAAGUAUGCUAUGCACUGGUAUCGAAAAGAGUACGAGCUCUAAUGCUGGAAAUCAAAAUGAUACCUGCCACUACUCGAUCGGCUGCUGAAGAGUCCACCUGGGCUGUAUAGAUUCUGCUACUUGGAGCCUGCUGUCGCCGCUUAUCCUAACGCGGCGUAGAUGCUCUGUCCUCCUAGCGGUAACUCGGCGGUGCCCCGUAAUACUGCGGAGGUUCUGGCUGUGCUGAUGCUGUCGAGUGUGCUGGUGAUACUGCUCGAGGACAGGCUGCCCUUAUACGCCCUGGUUGUCCAUAUCCAAAGCACCGGCCUUCUCGCUGCUCACACUGUCGAGGCCAGUGUGGUCUUCCACAAAUCACAGACUGCGGCGGCUCUUGUGACUGCCUCUGCUGACGAGAUCCUCCAGAACGCUGACGCCCCGAAGACUCACGAUCCUGAGAGCGUGAUCGUGGAGGUCUCGGCGGACGCCUGCUGCUCGACUGUCCCCCAUCGUCUGGAGCUGGGCACUUCCUGUCCUGACUCUGCCCCUGUAACUGAGUCUGCUCACGAAUCGAUGCAUCACCUCUCUCCACCCAAAGAGCCUGCUCCAUAGACGCAUCCAAGGUCCUCAACCUCUGCGCCUGAACCAACCUGAAAAUCUCUGACCUCAAUCCUCGCUCGAAAAGGUUUACUCUGUGCGCCUCAUCUCUGGUCACAAAUGGGACAUAGUUCAGGAGUCGAGAAACCUCACGGAUAUACUCCUGAAUUGGUCGCUCUCCCUGCUGAAGCCUUUUCAAAUCCUCAUCGAGCUUCUGCUUUACACUGUUGGGAAAAUACAUCCCAUAUAGCAUGCCGCAGAACUCAUCCCACCUUAUCUGCACCGCCAUCAACCUGUAGUCUCGUAUCACCCUCCUCCACCAUGCAAGUGCAUCUCCAGUCAAGCAGUGAACUCCCAGGUGUACCUGCUCCCGCUCAGGAAUGAACAGAUCCUCAAAUAGUUUCUCCAUCGCACUGACCUAGUCCUCGACAACCCAGGCCUCUGAACAUCUGCCAUCAAAGGUCGGUGGAUCGAAAUGAUGAAAGCGGGCAAGUCUCUCAGCCAUCCGCUCCUGCUCAGCCUCAGUUAUCUGUGAAGCCUCACCAGAAGAUGCAACCGGCACUCGGGGAACUGCCGCUGGUGGAGGUACUGCUGCGGCUGGUGCGGCUACUGGAGUAGUCGGGGGUGGAACUGGCUGCUCUGGUACGGUACUCUGCGGCGGAGCUAUCCUCUCACACAACUUCUGCAACAACCCCCCCUGCUGCCUCAUCACCUCAGUCAAGGCAGCCAACUGCUCCCUCAGAUCAAGGGGUGCGCUCGCCUCUGGUCGUACACUCGGCUCUGCCUGCUCAAGCAUCUCAGGAGGUGCGGCACGAUUCCGCAACGACGGUCGACCACGACGUCGAUACAUACCUGUAAAGAAAAAAAAAUAAAGGUCAGAAACAAACACAGACACUCUCGACCCAAUCAAACGAAAGUUUGGAAGGCGGCCCCUGUUUCUCCUCAAAAUUAUGUCGUCUGCAGCCAAUAUAAUUUUUCUGGACCGAAACAGGCACUCCUUCAAUCACUCACUCCACUCUAGGAGGAGUUAAAACUAUUCAAUCUUUGACUUUCGCAAUAAAUCACUCCUCUCGCUUCUUUCCCUCCUAAGGUUCACCAAACUUAGGUUUUUUAGGUCCCAACGACCUAAUACUAAGCUCUGAUACCAACUUAAUCUGUCACGUCCCGGAUUACUCUUUUUUCGGGCACGCCAACAAAUCCGCCGUAUACAAAGAAAUUUUUCAUGUAUACGAAGCGAUAGUUGUACUUGUAAUCAUACAAUACUACAACCAGUAGUAUAUAGCUGCUAGAAGAAAUGAAGAAUAUAAAAACAGAAGUUCACUAUACAUAUAUCAAAUCCAGGUGUACAAUAUACUCGCCCAGCGAGAUAAAACAAAAGUAUGUAUAUGACCUCAAAAACUACAACUACCUGUAGCUGGCACUCCUCUAGCUCUGUAAUUCGUCAGAAAGGGUUCUAACUCGUAACACCCUUUCCACGAUCAGACUCAGCAGCAGCAGCAGCCGAAAAUGAAGGCUCUGUAAAAAAUUCCAACAACUGGGUGUGAGGACUACUGCAAAAAGAAAUAGUCCUCAGUGGGUAUCGCUACCGACCUCAACGGCUCACCGACUAAGUCUACAGAUGUAAACAAGGAUAGAAAGAAAGCUGGAAUACAUCCACAGCUACAUGCACCUAUACUAUUUCGGUCUAACACCAACAAUCUGUAGAACACUGGAAAUCCUAACCCAAUCUCACUAGGGAUUGUAAAUAUACCCAUCCCAGGGACUGUGAACAUACCCAUCCCAGGGACUGUGAACACACCCGUCCUGCCUGUCGAAGCUAUACCGCUACCUGCACAUUAGACAGUCCUUGGAGAGCAAAUCCAAUCAGGACUAAACGACACCAACGUAAAAGUAUAAAGCCCGACUUCGGAGUGGCACUCGUGGGCGCUACCCAACCGAGUAUGCAAGCGUGUCUCUGUCGAGCUCAAGCAGACUCUCGUAGGCUAUAGUCAAGUAAACAGGAUCUAACUAGUCUAACAACCAAAAUGCACGUGCCAUCGGCACAAUCUGAUGCAAAAACAGUAAUCUGGGUCCACCGUCAAUCCCAACGGCACCCGACAAUUUGGAAAAGUCUGAACAAUACUGUAAAAAUAAGCUCGACAUCCCAGUAAGAGCUUAAAAUUAUUCUACACUAUUCUGGGUAUCCACCGCCCACAAACUGCGGUGAUACAACCAAACUACGGCUCCUAAAGUUAAAUCUGGUAGUUUGUUCAAAUGGUGGUGUAGAAACGUCAGUUUUCUCCUAAGUCAAAUCCAAGCCCAACAUGCAUGAUUUAGCUAAUUUUUCUAAGCUCCAAUUCCAAUUCAUAAGCAUGAAAUUCCAAAAAUUGAGCUAAACAAAGUACUAAAUGAAGCUACAAAUAGAUGUAGUUGACAUAUAUAACAUUAGGAGGAAACCCGUAGAAUUCGGUAAGCAUCACUUUAACCCAUCUCGAAAACGCGUCCAACAAAGGCGAAAAGUCGAGAGAAGUGGAACCACACGCUCGAACAGCCUCCAAUCAGCGCAACUACAACGAACGCACGCUCGAACGGCACCGCGGUGCGACGUCGGCGACGAUCCAACUCCACCCGAGCUCCUCCCUCCACGCACGGCUCAAGAGCAAGAGAGAGAGAAAAUUAGAAAGUGCAAUACCUCUCUAAUUAAGUUACUACGUGCACUUAAAUAUGGAUUGGAUAAGUAUGGGUAGGUGGAAUCCAUACCCACCUCAAUAAUUACAAGAAUAACCCUCACCAAAUCAAAGCCAAGGGUACUACAUGGCCCGUUUAAGUAAACUGUCCAAACAGGACUGUUGCGACAUCAACGCAAGUAAAGCCUCACUCCGGAGCGGCACUCGUGGGCGCGAGCCAACCGAGUAUACAAGCGUGUCUCUAUCGAGUCAAUAAGGCUCACACAGGCUAUAGUUAAUGCAAAUGGGGCAAACUGGUCUAACAAAAAAAACUCACGUGCCCUCGACACAAUCUGAAACAAGAUGUAAACAUCUGGGUCCACCGUUGUCACGCCUCGAGACCGCUACCAAUUUGGUCCUGUUCGGGCGCGUCGAACAGACACCGGACGAACAGCACCUCCCCUGUCCGCCAAGGCUAAGCAUCAAGAUUGUAUACAACAAGUGCCCAGGAAAAACAACUUGAAAUACAUACACAAUCAACGACAACAGCGAGAGCACAACCAGUGCAAAACAAGUAAGAGUAAGCAUCACAAGCAUACACAAGUGAACAAAAGAGAGAUACUCUAUCUAUUACAUCACAACCGUCAACCACGAAGGCACCCGACAGUACAGAACAGUCCAAACACUACUGUAAAACGAGCUCGGCUCCUAAGUACGAGCGUAAUGUCAACCGACACUAAUUUAAGUAUCCACUAUGCACUAACAACGGUGAUACAGCAGAACAACAACUCCUGAAGCUAAUUCGGUUAACUUUUCGGAAGAUGGCAGUGUAGGUUUAACAAGUUUUCUCCUAGGUCAAAUCCCAGUUCAACAAAUAAUAAUCAUCAUAAAAUAACUAAACAUGCUCCAACACUUAGAUUUCAUAAGUAAUAUGCAAAUCUAUAAGUUGAGCUACUAACAGGAUGAUCAUAUACACAUGCUGGGUUAGGAGAUAUUUUGAAUGCUUUGGACAACAUUAACCUACCUCGAACGCUCGUCCGACGUCAGCUAGAAGUCGAUAGGAGAAACCUCGCGCUAGCUCAACCUCCAACGGCCUCAACCAGACUCAGCCACGGCGCGUGCGCAAUCCUCCGAAGACAAGCAAACGAAAACUAAGAUCAACUCUCCAAAAUCGCAAAGAAAACGAGGAGAGAAGCUACAGAUAGGAAAAGGGAAGCCAACCUGUGUUCUCCAACCUGAGGCACAAAAAGAGAAGGCUGGAGUUGGUUGGUGGUACUUAUCGACAAUCAAAAGGCCAAACUACCCCUUACCAACCCAAUUUGCCUUUUGGGGUACCGGUACUCGGCCCUCUUUCCGCAAACUCGCGUGCUGGGUACCGAUACUGUCACACCCUGGGACCCAGCAGAAGCCCGUCCGGUGCGUGUCCAGAUCCGCCAUAUGUCUACAACAUAUAAGGCGUCUAGAACAAACCGAUAAAUAAAGCAAAGGUAAACAAGCAUCUAGUGAUAUCAGAGCAAGAAUACAACUAAAUUCUAAUGACGAGUAAAAAUAUAAAAGAACUAAAUAACUAACAUAAUCCAAAAAGUAGAUACAUCACAAGAUCCCAAAUACAAGAUAAUAGAUAUACAAAAAUGGUCGUCUCUACAAUAGGGUACAAAAACUCUCUUUCUCCAACUAAAACAAAAGGAGAGAUAGACCACCUAAAAGUAAAGCUUCUCGCUAUCUAGCUAGAGGGACACCCUUAUCGCGGUCCCUAGCCUCUCCCGGAGUGGAAGGCGCUGUAAACGAAAAUAAUAAAACAAAGGGCGUGAGAACUAUUAAUAAAUAGUUCCCAGUAGGUAAGCCGCCGACAUCAGCGAAAUACACUAGAUUGUGGAGGCAUAAGUAGUAUGAUCUAACAUUUAAAUGAAAUAAGCAACAAGUAUAUUAAGCAUGAAAUAAAACUUACUAAACUACUAUGCCUCUACUUAGCAUGAAUUUUCACAAGUAUAAGUGCUAUUCUAAUAUGAAUGAGCAUAUACAUUUAAAUAGCAUGAUGUCCACAAGUACAACUAGUAGGAUGUCUACAUUUAGAAUUAGUAUAAUGUCUACAUUGCAUUUUAGUUCAACAUUGUUCCGAUCAAAUAGGACCUACACAAGUGUAGUACGACUUGCGCCGUGCCUAAUGGUCCCGUGGUAGUCAACAUUCCCACUCUAUGAAUGAGCCUCCCCCACGGCAUCCCAUUUCGGCGCCCAAUCCCGCACGUGCAAGCUUAUAUCGCGUUGGCUAUCUCCGGAGUGCCGACUUGUGGGGGGCGACCCUCAUAAGCAUGUGCGAAUGAGCACAAUGAUAAGCAAGCGUAAUCAUCCGUCUUAAGUCCAAUGUUAUCAUGUCUAAAAUAUGGUAUAAAGGCUCAUAACCCAAUCGCCUAUCACUAUGUCAUCAAGUAAGAGUUUAACCAUUUACUAAGUUAUAUGCCACUUUAUGACAUUAAUGUUCACUAUGUCAAGCAUGAGUUUCAAGCCAUAUAAAGAAUGCUACUCACUAGCAUGAUUGCUAUAUACUUAUCUCUCUACUACGUAGAGGUACUUAUAAAAACACCACUAAAAAGCAUCAAAAUACACCGCGAAAAUUUCAGUCCUCACAAAUAUAAAUUUCAAUACAAAUUAAAAAAAUAUAUAAUACAUGAAAAAUAAUUAUAUAUAUAUCAUGCCCCGUGACUGCCAAUUUGGUCGGUCCGGACACACACACGACGCCAAAACGGACAAAACCUCCUCUGUCCGCCCAAGACUCAACCACAACAACAGUAGCAUAUAUCAAGAAAUACCCAGAAAAAUUUCGAUAUACACGGCUUACACGAUGGCAAGCAACAGGAACAAGUGAAAGUAAACUAGCUAUUACAUCCAUACAUUGUAUCUUAAUUACAUUAAGCCAAAUACAAUUCAUAAUCCGUUACAUCCAUUCCAUUUCAUACAUUCAUUUCCAAAUUCGUAACUUGUCUCUCAAUACAACUAUUGCAUGUUCAUUUCAUCAACUACAAAAGAUAAAAUACAAAAAGGGUACAACUAUACUCGAGGAAGUCCACUACCUAGGACACGAUGCCCUUGCCGCGAUCCUCGACCACCCCACUCGCGCUAAAAUCUGCAAGGUUAGUGGGGUGAGAACUACUAAAAGUUUUCAGUGGGUUCGGUCGCCGACUCCGCCGACUUACCCAUUAGGUCUAAUCAGGCAUAUGUAGGAAAAAGAAAUUGAUAGCAAACCACACUAAUGCAACUACAAUGCAUGUAUAAUAGCUGAAGCAAUAAGUAAGAUGCUCAUGAUGCAUGUAUUUCUAUUUACCUUUACUGUCACGCCCCGGGACCCAGCGGAAUCCUGCCCGGUGUGUGUCCAGACCCGUCAUAUGUCUGCACAUAUAAGGCGUCUACAACAAUACGAUAAUUAAAGCAAGAAAAGAAAGCAUCUAGUAGGUUAUCAGAGCAUAAUAACAACUACAUUCUAAUAGCAAGUAGAAGAAAAUGAAAUUGAACAACUAUCAUAAUCCAAAAGAUGGGUACAUCAAGAGAUUCACAAGAUACAACUAAAUACAAAAUGGUGGUCUCUAUACAUCGGGUACAAAAAUCUCUCUCUCUCUCUCUCUCCAUAAUACAAAACGGAGAGAUAGCCACCUAGUAGCAAAGAUCCUCACUACCUAGCUAACGCGACCCCUUUGCCGCGAUCCCUAACCUCUCCCGAUGAGGAUGACUCUGAAAUAAAACAACAACACAGACGGUGUGACAAUUAUUGAACAAUAGUUUCCAGUGGGUAACCCGCGACAUCAGCGAAAUACACCACUAGGCUAUAGAGGCAAAAGUAGUAAAAGAAGCUGAAUUAUGGAACAAAUAAAAUUUAACAAGUAAAAUGUUUUACACAGCUACUAUGCCUCGAUUUAGCAUGAUGUCUAUCGAGUGAUACUACUAUUCUAUCAUGAAUGAGUACAUCUAAUGAGUAUACUAAUAUACUCUAAAAUAUGUCCAACAAGUAUACUACUAUGCACUAAGCAAGUCUAUCAAGUAUACUAAUAUGUCCAAGCAUGUCUAUUAAGUAUACUACUAUGCACUAAGCAUGUCACCGAAUGUCCAAUAAUAUGCACAAAACAUGUCCAAGGAAUCCACUAUUAUAUACUAUCUAGUAGUGAUUGUCAUACUAAUGGUUUAAAUGUCAUUAUUCAAUCUCAAAUCGGGACCUACACAAGUGUAGUCCGGCUUGUGCCGCCUAAUUACCCGUGGUAGUCCAACAUUCCCACUCUAAGAAUGAGCCUAUCCCACGCCGGCCGAGUAGGCUACCCAAUCCCGCACGAGCCAGCAUAUGUCGCGAAGGCCAACUCUGGAGUACCAGCUUGUGGGGAGCGACCCUCACAAGCAUGUGCGAAUGAGCACAAAUGGUAAGUAAGUAUGAUCAUCCUCUCAAGUAUACGGUCAUCAUGUCCCACACAUGGUAUAAGCACUAGCAACCGAAAGGUCUAGUUCUAUGUCACAACGUAAAUGUUUAACCGUUUACUAAGUCUAAUGCCAUUUUAUGACAUUAUGAUUUGCUAUGUCAAUUAUGAGUUCUAAGUCCAAGAGCAUGUUAUAGUUAUCAUUUUUACUAAAUGAAACAUGAUUUCAAGCCAUAUGAAAAAAUGCCCCUCACUUGCAUGAUUAUUAUGUACAUAUCUCUCUACUACAUAGAGGUAAAAUUUCAUGAUACAUAAUGUAUGCACUUUAAGCAUUCUAAAAUCUACAUAUGCUAUAUCUAGCAUGAAUAUGCAUGAUUUUUUAUUUUACAAUAAAAAAUAUAACAUAGGGGGAGUUCACCCAUUUCGGUGAGGUCAAACCCACCAAGAACUCCUUGGAUCCCCUUCGCUUGCGCGAACGAAGAUGUCCACUAGUCUCCUAGCUUCUUAAAGAAAAUUCUAAGAGGGUUAGGGGUAAUGAACAAACACCCCAAGAGUUAAACUUUAACCAACUCAACAAUAAGUCAAAACUCACAUUGUAUGGUAAAAAACCCUCCCAAUCUCCAAGUAGAAGCUAGAGUAUUUCUAAUCCUACCUAGAAGAAGGUUCUACACCUAUCAAUUUACCCAAAAGCUACAAGUUAAAAACUCCCAAAUAAAAUCCUAGAUUCUACAUUUCUAGGUUUCCAACACAAAAACCCACCAAAUCAUGAUCUAAAGAGAAGAUCAAACUACUAACCUCUCUUGAAGCCCCAAACCAAGCUAGGAGUGAGCUAGGGUUAGAAAUCUUUCCUCAAACAAACUCCAAUCCUUGCUCCAAAGCUUCCCCAAGGUGGAAGAACCAUCAAAAUGCAAAAAAGAGCAAAAGGGAGAGAUCGAUUACAUGAAAUCUCACAAAAAAAGAGAGGAAAUCUAGAGAGAGAUAGAGGAAAAUACCCACCUUCUUCCUCAUCUGGUUGCAGCACAAAAGCCCCAGCCCAAGGUGUAUGGGGUAUAUAGUGUGUUGCAACAAUUACAAAAAGAACACUAAAAAAUCUGCAGUCUGCGGACUGCAUUGCGUACCAGUACGUGGGCUGGAGUACCGGUACCCCGCAGCCGAGCUCGCAAAACCCGAGCCUCGGUCAAGCGAGAAAACACACUGCGUACCGGUACCCUCGCAAUGCAGUACCGGUAUCAGGUCCAGUACCGAUACCCGGGCGAUGCAGUACCGGUACCCUGCCUCGCAGAGCUCAAACCCGAGAGCACUCUUCUCGGGUGCGCGACACAGUUCCAGUACCUCAUCCCUGGUACCGGUACCUUGCAUCCCAAAACCUGCAGUUUUAAAGUUUUGGUGCUAAGUACUUAUUCCCGCUCCUCGGAACGCGAGUCAUAGGUCGGAACACAGUUAACGACCCUCCAGAAUACUUGAAAAAACUGAGAACACUAAUUAAACACUCGAACCUUGCAGUUUGCUAAAGUUUAGUGUGUUACAUUUACCUUUAUCCAAUCCUUUUGGUUAAACCGAACUCACCAAAUCAAAUCCUUUUUUGUUGGGAAGAAUUUCGCUACAACCCAACGGGACCGUCUGUUGGGGAGAAUUCCGCUACCGCCCAGUGGAUGACAACUCCGGAGCUCACCGCUUGAGGUAGAGCGACCACCCUCACGCAUAUCAGACUACUCGUGAGUACGAUCCAAUCCUCAACUUUGAGGAUACCAUGUCACUAUUGCCACAAUAUUCAUAAAGUUUUCUUUGUCUAGCCAUCCAUAUUUCUAGGUGCUAAUUCAUCUAGUCACAAUGUCAUCUUGUUUACUACAUUAUCAUUGUCCACCACUUGGUUCAUACAUUCAUAAGGUUUCUAUGUUCAAGGUUCAUUACCAUUUCACAUGUAUCUUUACAUUGAGAGCAUACAAGAAAUCCCACAUCUUAGCCACACAUUAAUAUUAACCCUACAAUGCAUGAAUACAAUACUACACAUAUACAUAUAUGCUCAAAAAGGUGACAUAGACAUAAUAAGAAAUUUGAUGAUUUCGAAUAGCACCAUUCACCUCGUAGGAAUGCUGAGAGGGGAGAAUCCAAGUCCCGCGAUUUUUAGACACCUCAAUCCCUCGACCCACGGCUAACGAAAGCAAAAUGAGGUUUUUCCUAAAUAUAAUGCUGUAGACUCGCCGGAACUUCGAUCUGAGUCUCCAAACGCGUCGAAUUAACUUCUAUUAGGAAUACAAGAGGUCAAUUUCAUAAUAGACCUAAAUUCCUACAAGAUCCUAUUUCCAACCCUAGAGUUUACACAUACUACCCAUACUCUAAAUUCUUAGGAUUCAUGGAGUAAUCCAAGCUCUUGAAAUCCAAGAAUCACAAAUCCAUGCAAAUUAGGGUAAUUAAACUAAACUAUAACAUACAAAUGCAAAGAAACCUACCUUGGCUCCUUUGCUCCUCAAGUUCCUCCUUGCCUUGAGCUUCUUCACCACCAAGACCACCAAUUCCACCUUCAAUUCUCCUCCCAAGCCUCUUUUAUGGAGAGAUUCUAGAGAGAGAAGGAGAGGGGGAUGAGAAGAAGAAGGAGAAAAUGUAUUCUCUUGCAUGAGAAUACCAGGUGUAGGGUUGGGGUUAUUUAUAGACCCCAAUAAUUGCAACUAAACCCCCCACAAAUGCUCACUUACAACCAUUACAAUUUAGUCCUUCGCAGGGCUGAGUAUUGGUACGCGGGCUCCCAGUACCGGUACCCAGCUACGUGGUACCGGUACACGCCAAAAUAACCUCUCAAACCCGAGAGCUAGAUUUUCGGGUUUUAUACGAGGUACCGGUACGCAGCACCUAGUACCGGUACCCAACAUGUCCAGUACCGGUACCGGUUACGCAAUACCGGUACACAACUCGGCAGCAACCAAACCCGAGAGCUCACCUUUCGGGCAAUUGACUGAAUACCGGUACUCAGCCUCCGGUAUCGGUGCGCAGCUUGCCAAAGUCCCGAAUCUGAGAGCUAAUCAAUUUGCACUUCUAUUGGGUAUCGGUACUGCAUUGCCUGGUACUGGUACUCAACAUCAAUUCUGCAGUCCCAGCAGCCGCAAUAUUUCGGAGUUCUUUUUCGCGCUCGGUUUGUGCCGAAAACACCAAAACACUCCCGAAACACCUUCAAAACAACUCAGGGACUUUACUUAUCACCCUUAUACUUCACUUUAAUCAAUUUAAUCAAAAUUAGCAUUGCAAUUCGGAGAUUCGGUAUAUUACAAUAUAUAUAAUAUUUAAUAUAAAAUAAAAUAAUUAAAUAUUAAUAUAUGUAAAUGAUAAAACUGAAUAAAAUAAAUAAUAUAUCAAAUUUAAUUAAUUUAUAUUAUAUAAUAAAAUUUAAGUAUAAAUAUAUUAUCAUAAAAUAAUAUUUAUAUUACGGAUAAUUGCUUGCCUAUAUACCUCUCAUACGUUUGAAAAUAUCCGAUUUACCCCUAUAUUUUUUUUCUUUCUAAAAUACCCCUCAUAUAUUCCACCGUUAUUGCAAAAUACCUCUGCAAUUAUCUCCUGUUAAGUUAAUUUGAGUUAAACGUGAGUUAAAAAUGUACCACAGUUAAAAAAAAUUAAAAUACCAAUUUUGCCCUUAACUUAAGGGCAAAUAAGAAAUGUUAGUGACGGUAGAGAAGUGUAUUGGAAAAGAUCAAAAGUCAAAAUAGUUUUUGCGCCCCUUACUUUAAGGGCAAAUAAGAAAGUCAGUGAUAGUGGAAAGGUAUAUUUGAAAGGGCAAAAUAGUAAUUUUACAGAGAUAAUAGAGUUCAUUAAUAGAUUUUAACUUCCUGAGUAUAUACCCCUGAAAAGUUCCCAACUUUUCGAUUUACCCCUCUUGGAAGGCUAAUAUAUAUUAAUAUAUUUAUUUAUAUAUUUAUUUAUCUAAUAAAAUAAAGAGAAUAACAAAGUUGUUCUCGGUUUCUUUGAGAAUAAUUUUUAACGGUUUGUUCCAGAACAAUUCAGAACAGUCCAUUUUAAUCGAAACAAUUCGUUCUCUCCUAUUCUUCUACCGCUUGGUUAUAAAUUUAUUUAGAAAUAUUCCGUGUUGUUCCGGAAUAUUCCCGAUAUUAAACCCAGCCUAGUUUCAGUGUACAUGAUGAUUGCAAAGGUCGGGACCAGUAGUGUAAUUAACUGUUGCAAAGACUUUCCUGUACGACCUGGCCCAUGGGUCAUAUUACAUGUAGCCCAUCAUAUUCAGGUUGUUGGGCCAAAAAGGAGGUUGAGCCUGAGGUGAUUUUUAUUUUUUUGAGAGCUUGAGGUGAGGGUUGUUGAUUUGGCAGUCGUGUGGGCCUGCGCAAAUGAGCGUUGUCGGGCUCUUCGUGACCUUGAAAAUUGAAAUCCCCCGGCGUUAGUUCGUCUGUCCCGGGCUCAGACGCCCGAUGGCGGGAAGCGGCAGCGGCGAUUCGGACAAGAUGGCGGCGCUCGAUGGCGCCGACGGGUUUCAGUGGGACGAGGAAUCAAAGCUCUACCUCCACGCCAGGUAACAUUUAUGCUUGUUGCGAAUCAACUCCUCAAUGUCUAGGGCAUCUAUUUUUUAUUUUUAUUAUCUUAUUUUUUAAUUUUUUCUCUUUUCUUUAGCGUUUCUUCAUAUCUUUAUGCGUUUGUAUGAUUGUGUUGUUAUUUCGGUUUCAAUCUCUCUUUAAUUGCUCUAAGACUCUGAUGCAGGACGGCUUAGGGAGUUUAGGGUUUUCAAGAAUUACUUAAUAUAUACCACUUGAGCGAUUCUUAGAAAUCAAACUAAAAGAAAUAAAUGACAAAUUCGGAAUUCGGAAACUUAAAUAAGAGAUCGGUUAGGAAAGAUUACACUUUGGAGUUUUUUGGAGUUUUUGUAGGAUAUGCGGACGUGUCAGUUUAAUAUCUCUUGAUUGUAGGAUCAUAGCAGCUUCGCUAAAAUUUCUAGAAUAGUAGAAGGAAAUUAGGUUUAGGGUUUAGAAAAUGAUAGGAUGAUGAUAAUAGAAAAUUAGGGUUUAGAAAUAGCCGCACAAAAAAAGAGAAAUCAAAGGAUUCAGCGAUGGCUUGCUUCCACGGAUCCUAAUGUGGCGACGGCGGAUUGUCGGAGAGAUCUCUCGUAGGGCUUCUCUGUAUGGACGGCUUGUGGAGAGAUCCCGCAGGUGGGUCCCCCGCGAGUAAGUCGAUCUCUACGGCUCUCUUUAGUAGUAACAGAGUCAACGGCUAAAAUAAAAUAGAGGAAAGAGAAGGGAAAGAAGAUAAAAAAAAAUAAUUCAUGGGACUCGCUCCUGAGCCGAACACUCUCUGGCCGACGCUUUCGCAAAGGCAAGAAAAAUGCACGAGGAAUUCAAAUAACUCAAUUUUCAUUUAUUGAAAGCAUGCUUUACAAUAAAGAUUUGACCCUUAUUUAUAGAGAGUGUAGGUGAAAACGACUAGGAAUACGACUAGAAGUCCUAAAAGAAAAUUAAAUAAAUUCUCAUAGCAGAAUUGAAAAUAGAGUUUUAGUCUAAAACUUUCAAAUAAACUAAAAAAUCCUAAUCUAAUUAAACUUUCAAGAUUAACCCACUAAAUCUUAAUAAGACUCAGAUUCAAUUCAGAAUUUGAAUCAGACUCAUAUUCAAGUUAGGCUUCUAGUACUUGUCCAUUAUCCAACCAAAUAUUCUGAAUAUGAUUCCAACAAUGAGUAUAAGUUCGAAAGGGACCUGGUUCUCCAUCAGACUCUCUCUCUCUCUCCUCUCUAUGUGUUGCACUUAUACCUCUGAAUAUUAAAAAAAAAAAUUCGCACAUAAUCCUCUUGAAAACUUGCAUCAUUAGCACCUACCCCCUUUCGUCAGCUUGUCAUUCCAAUUCCGUCAUAAAUUGAUUUUUAAUACCAUAAUUGCUGUUUUUCUUCCACAAUUAUACCAAAAUUGUUAUUCUUUCCCAGUUUCUCUCUCGUUUUCUUCUUCUUUUCUCGUAUAAUUUUCAUUUAAAAUUUACACCAUUAAUGAGAAAAGAUGAAGAAAAUGGAAAUAGAAUAGUUCAGAGUAGUUAUAUAUACAUAUAUAUAUGAGGAGGAGAAUAAUGGGAUAGGGAGAAGAUUGAGGUGAGGACGAGGAGAUAAGGACGGGGUAGAGGAGGAGGGGUAGUUAUAUAUACAUAUAUAUAUGAGGAGGAGAAUAAUGGGAUGGGGAGAAGAUUGAGGUGAGGACGAGGAGAUAAGGACGGGGUAGAGGAGGAGGGUAAAUAAGGUAAACAAUGAAGGCGCUGCGGCGGCAGUCAUGGCAGCAACCAUGACGGAGGCGGAGGUGGUCAAUGAGUUCCCAUGGAGGAGGAAGAGAAAAAGAAUAAAAUAAAGCAGUAUUUUGGUCAUUUGCUCUUUUUAUUUUAAAAAUGUAACUUGAUGAAAUAUUUCUGAUCUAUUGAGUGGGUUUAAGUGUUUUUUCUUUUUUAAUCUAGGGGAGCAAAGUGCAGCAUGUGAUAUAUUCAGGAGCAUUAUAUGCAUUUUAGCCUUUUUCUCAAUUAUUACUAUAAUUUCGUCUUUGUGAGUAUACUUUGAUAUCAUAUCAAAAUGGUAUUCUUGAGUUAUUAAGAUAUCUACAAUUCUAUUCUUACAAAACUUUGUGAAAUAUUAACACUUAGACUCUUUUUAAAGGCAUUAGAGACAUUAAAACUCUCUAAUAAACUAUUUUUUCGUAAAAAACUGAUUAAAAUAAAGAAAUUUGUGUAAGCAUGUCAGUUGCGUGCCAUUGACAUAGAGGGCAGUGCCAACAUUGGCAUGGGGCUUUCCGCUGUGCCCCCUGUCACUGACAUGGCAAAUUGUUGCUCUUAGGAAUAUGCUUUCUUGACAAAAUUUCUGUGGGUGACUUAUGUAAAUAUUAAACUACUAAACAUUAGUAAAAAUUUGCCCUUUUGUAAGUGGAAAAUAAAAAAUAUAAACUAUUUCCCUUACUGUAUGUUAUUGAUUGGCUUUACAACAUUUCACUAAUAGAAUUCUCUUCAACCAGUGCGGUAAAUUGCAGUUUAUUCACCUACUAUUCGGUCAUUGCGAGUUCCUCCUUUAAGAAAAUUACAGAAUUUCACAUAGGGUUCUGAUUAAAUAUAAAUUGAAAUUCAAUAAAUUAAUAGCAACAAAUUGAAGUUUGCUGAUAUUAGUGUAAUUUUGCAAUAUGAUUAGAGGUUCAUGAUAUAAUUUACCAAUUAUUUGUAUAUGGAACCCUUGGAUGGAGGUGGCAAAUAACUGUCUUAGAGGGUGUGUAACAUGGCAUUCUUACAUAAUUUUGUAGGCAAGUGUUGUAGAACUUUACUAUUCUAAUAAAUCCUUUGUAUUUGAAACUAUGUAGUAUCUUAUUGUUAGUUAUAAUUGUAUCUCAUACCAUUAGCUCAUCUCUCACCAAGUUAGUCAAUGCUACUUUAAAUAUUUGAUGAACUCCUCCAUGUCUUGUUUAAUCCUUUGUGCUUUAUGUUGUCUCAUCUUAUAUACCCUAAUGUCUUUGUGCUGCCUAGGCAUUAUAUCUUCAUUUGCUAAAAAUGAACCAGCAAGGGUUCUGCAUCUGAAGUUUUUUUCUUGGGUUAGUCUUUAAUCAUUAAUGAUUUAUUCUAUGACAUAAUUAAAUAUUAAUUCCUUAUAGGACCUUCGUAUAAAGUUCUAAUAAUCUAACCUAGCUCUUGUUAUUACUUGUCUUUCAAUAUGCCUGCUACUACCACUUUUAUAAAUUUAAAUUUCCUAAAAUAAUUUUUCAGUUCCCUGAAUAUUUCUCAAUUUUCUUUAUUUAAUGUUUGUCAGUACUGGGUUUUAUUAUGAUCCCAAUGCUGGAUGGUACUACAGCAGUAGAGAUGGUCUCUACUAUGCAUUUAAGGAUGGAAAUUAUGUGCCAUUGAGUAAGGUAGAUUGAGCCUCAUGAUGGUCUGUAAAUUGUCGUUGUCAAAGUUAUGACCGUAUGGAUGCUUUUUUUCUCAAUGCUCAAUCUUUUUUCCAUAUUCGAACAGGAUGAGGAACUUGAAGCUUAUCCACAUGCAAGAUCCGAAUGCAAUGAACUUGUUCAAAAAAACUCAUGUAUGCGCUAUAUAAAAGCAAUAUUCUGUUUGCCUACUAUGUCAGCACACUUUCUUCUUUGUUUCUGUUUAAGUAUUUAUAAUGCUGAAUUGUUGAUGCAAUUUUCGAUUAUCUUGUGUCUUCAAAAUUUUGCAUCAGGUGUAUAUUAGUGUCUUAGUCUUUUUCAUAUUUUUGAUUGAAACCAUGAGUUUGAGGAGAGGCUCAUUAUAAAACCUGUAACUAAUACCCUUCUUUUCUUUGUCCAGGUUGUAUGUUCAAACUAGUUACCCAAUCAUCUGCGGUGCAUUUGAUGAUAGACGAUAAUGCCUUCUUUUCUUGUUUUGUUGCCUAAUAGGUCUAAGAGAAAAUUCUAGUAGUGAUGGAAAUGAUCCACAGUGCAUGCCAUCUGAAUGGUAUGGUAGUAAAUGCCUCAUAAUAUUGCCAAUACUACUAAUCAGGUUAUUUUUUUCUAGCUGAUUUUAAGAACUUUGGUGUCUACAGGUUAGAAGACACUUUGAUCAAUAUGUACUUAUCAGGUUAUUCCAACUUAGAGUUCAACUCCGAUGACCCAUCCAGAGAUUUACAAACAAACAGUGAGUCUAGCUUUAGUUGAUCAAAAUCUUUCUGUAAUUAUCGUCCUUUUAAGAAGAUUCUGAUGGUUUAACCAAUUUAAUGAAGUCUUUAAUCAGGAGAAGAGAAAAGCGAGUCCAUUUCCAAGUGGUCGGUUGAUAAGAUAGAAGGUGAAAGUAUUCCUGAAAAUGUCCAAGAUGCAUUCUCUGGUGAAGGUGGUUAGAAUCUACUUAUUCUAUUAAUCUUUUCUGCUGCCUAUAAAUUUUUCUUUUUUCUUUUUUUUUUUUUUUUUUUCAGGAAAUGCUACUCCAGAGGAAGAGAUGUGGCUAGCACAGUAUGGUCAAGUUGUGAGAACAAACGAUGAAGAUCUACCAUCUUUCCCUAUAGUUGAUCUAUGGGAUUGGGAAAUGGUUAGGGAACCUGUGAGUAAAAGGCAUGAAGUGGCUAGGCUAGUGGGAAGGUUGGUGAGGCGUUCUUCUAAGCUGCACCCUUCAUUGCCUGCUGGUGGUGGACUGUUAAGAACUAAUCCCAUUCGUGAAGUUCAUCUUGAUCUUGUGCGUGUUGCAUCAGGUAAUAAUUUUUACAAGUGAGGUAAAACCUCACAAAUGAAAAUGAAAUGGGUUUGGGAUCUUUUCGCUCUUUUGGGACUUUUCAGUCUCUGACCCACUGCAACUGAUCAGUUUGUUUGGAUAUUUCUUUCCUCACUGAUGCUAUUAGUGUGGGAAAUGACUAUGUUCCAUGUAUCCUUUAAUAGCUCAGAAAUAUCUUCAUUAUGCUAACAUUAAUACGUCAAAAUUUUGUAGAAAAUCAAUUGGUCCACUAUCCUUCCUUUUUAGCCACCCCUAUUGGCAGUCAAAAGUAAAAUAUUGUCCAUGUUGUCAGUCCAUCUACCUAAUAUUUUUUGUUCCUUUAUGUUGUUUUUGAACUUGAAUUCUUGCAUUUGAUUGCAAACUAUGAUGAAGAGAGAGGAUCUAUUUGUCAUGAUUAGGCAACCCCUUUCUAGGAAUUAUCUUCUUGGCCUCUUACUAUUUGUGAAGGCUUAGAGUUUUUGAGGACUGCUAACAUUGUUUCUCACAGCACAAUUUUGACGUGAUUGCCACUACUAUAUGUAGUUAUAUUUUUUUCUUUAGCAUCGAUAUUAGUGUUAUUGUUGUUCCGGUGCUACAUUCUAAUAUUGAGAAGGGUACUUUGCACUGAUUUAUUCUUAGCAUGCGUUUGGGUGAGGGGGUGGGGGAGAGGGUGGGGGCUGGAUAAGGGGUUAUCCCCCCGUUUAUCCCCAAACACAAUUUUGGGGGUGGAGAUUGUUAAACCCACCUCUAACGGGUUAUCAAUCCCACUCCUCCCUCCCUGGAAUUGGGGUGGGAUUAGCUAUUCCCACCCUAGCUAAUCCCACCCCUAUGUAAUUUUUAAAUUUAAAUUUAAAUUUUAAAAAUUUAUAAUUUGUAAUCUUAAAAUUAAUAUUUAUAAUUUUAAAUUUUAAAUUUUAAANUAGAUUUGAUCUUAAAUUUAAAAUUUAAAUUUAAAAUUUAGAACGUUAAAUUUUUAAAUUUGAGAUUUAAAAAUUUAAAUUUUAAUUUCGAAAUUUUCAAUUUUAAAAGUUAUAUAUUUAAAUUUAAAAUUUUAAAUAUAAAAAUUAAAAAUUUAAAUUCAAAUAUAAUAUAAGGGGCAAUAUCAUUAUUUUCUCUUUAUAACUAUCUAUUUAUAACUAUCCAUUAUUCUUCUUAUUCCAUCUUAUCUAUCCAAAUGCUAUUUUUCUUAUUUCCGAGAAUAAAAUUUUCAUCCAAUCGCAAAAUUGGUCUAUUCCAGGCUUAUACAUGAACUUAUAUCUAUCUCUGGAAUAGGCAGUUCUUGCUUAUACCCGAACCAAACGAAGUCUUACAGUAUCUUUCGUGGUUAUCAAUAGGAAAGAGAUGCUGUAAUUGCAUAAGAUCUGACCGCUUCAUUUCUAAUAUUUCUACAUCUGUAUUAAUAUUGUUGUUUUCUUGCUAUAAUGUGAUGCAAAUAUUUUGGACACUUGAUCCUGAUAAAUUCAUACUUUUUCCAAUUUUAGGGAAAGUAUAUAGGUUGAAAAACCCUAGCAGAAAAUACUUGGCUUCUUUAUCAGUAUAUGACUCUUCCAACCCUACGAAAGAUUGGGGCUUUCCUGAUAUAUAUGCCAACCAGCAAAGUACUGUGCUGCAUACCUUAAAUCCAGAGUGUGGAUCUGACUUCUCUAAUGCAAUUUCUGAGGAUAACAUAUCUUCUGUCAUUAAUGAUAUUCCCUUGGAAGGCAUGAAGGUGACUGUAGUUCUUCUUGAACCCGCUCACUCAAUCUUCCUUCUAUUAAGCUGCUGCUUUACGAAAUUCCGGCAAAUGCCAUCUCUAUUAUAAUGUAAAAGGGAUUUUUCAUGCAGUAAAAUAAGCAAAGUUUCAUAAAGACUCCUGCAAAAUUGGUAUUUAUGCGUGUGUGCCAAUAAAAACUAUAUUAAUUUGCAUCCAUGCCCUUUCCAGUAGAUAUACCCAUAUAUGUUCAUAAAUACAACAGUAAGUGCGUUUGUCUGUGUAUGCAAAUAAGGUUUUUGGGGUUAGAUACCAAUUUUGUAAUCUAUUUGUGCAAUUUUACAUAUUUGAUGCCACAAUUUUGCCAAAUCCAAUGUAAAUAUAUAUAUAUAUAUAUAUUUUGGUAUUCAUGCCCCCGAAAACCUUGUUUAUUUGCAUCUAUGCCCCUGCCAGUAGGUACACCAGUAUAUGCAUGGAUACAUCAGUAAUGGCCGGCAGCCAUGCGUGCAAAUAAGCUUUUGGGGUUACGCAUGUAAAUACCAACUACAAUGUAAAUACCAACUUUGUAGCAUACUUGUGCAAUUUAUCAUAUGUGAUGGCAUAUUGUGCAAAAAUGCAGUGUAAACUUUUUGGCUUAUGGUUUUUGCACUGUCCUGGAUACUUGCAGCAUCAGAAAUUUGCUUACAGAGAUAGAGCAGCCGAGAGGAGAUGUUUACAUGGUGGUAUUGGAAUAGGUCCGGGACACAAGGAUGUUAUGAACAAUGAUGAUUCUUCUGAGGAUGCAAAAGAAGCUGCAGCAGAAGCCAUGGAGUUAUCUUUCGGCUCUGGGAGUUACGGCAGAAGAGUCCUGGAAAGCAUGGGUUGGAAAGAAGUAUGUUCUUUUAUGGUCUUACAGCCAUCUUUUUUUAGCUUAUGCAAACACAUUUUCAAACUUGAAUUUAGAAGAAUAUAUCUCAGAGCAAUGAGAUAUUGGAAAAACAAAGGUUUAUAAGUUAAUUGCCAACUUUAGUCCCUGAAGAAAUUUCAAUUUCAUCUUUAUAGUUUCAAGUUUAACAAUUUAUUCCUAAGUUUGACUUGAUUUCAAUUUAGUCUUCAAACUUACAUUUCAACAAUACGGUCCCUGCAUCUUGACCCUGAUUUCAAUUUCAUUCCUGGAGUUUCAAAUGAAAAAAUCAAUGCACAUCAAUGGUGCUGAUUUGGCAACCCUUUUCUAGAUGAUAGAUUAAUAGGACUUGUUAUAAAAAAUAAACAUCAGGUAACCAAAUUUUUACAAAUAAAACUAAGAGGAUGAAAUUUAAAUGAAUACUGAAUUUUACGGACCAUUUGUAAUUAGUCCAUAUUUUAUCUGAAUUCUGUAGAUAACUAUUAUUUUUUGCCUGCGACCAUGUAUGUUUUGUUCUAUUGAAAUCCCAACCAGAAGUAAAUAAGUUAAAGAAGAUGAUAGUGUUCUGAUACAAACUGCUUGAACUUGCUUGUCCAACUUGAGAAUCGAGUGAGACAAACAAAUCACUUUGAUGGUUUAAUGGCUGAGAUCCUCGUAAUUUAUCUAGUAUUAUACAUCUUGGUUAAUUUUUCUAAUAUACAUGGUAUAUAUGUAACACUUCAUUUUUCUGCUGUAUGUUCUACAGAUCUACAUCUUGGUCAAACUCGGGUAGUUUUAAGUUAAAUGCCCCGUCACUAAUAUUUUGUGGAUUCACCUGCUAGUAUGUGGGUCACCAACGUGGAUGGCAUAUCUUCUGCGUGUUAAUUAGCACUAACAAUAUAAUAGGUUUAUGUACAGUAUAAGAACAUAAAUGUCACAUUGUUGGAUUUUAGUAGGUGUUGCAUGAAUUGACUGAUGUUGCUGAUGCAGUCAGAAGAUUCCAAAACCUUGUGAUGGUUAUAUAGUUUGCCUAAUCUCUGUUAUAUUGGUUUAAUUGAAUUACAGUUAGAAAUUUCUGGAUCACAUGUGCGUCUCUUAUUUCUCCUGCUAAUUUCUCCUAUUCCUUUUUCUUCUCUCAGUAUAUCAUUUAUUUUCCUUGAUUGUUGCAAGUGAAACAAUUUGAGAAUCAAGUAUUGCUCCUUUUGAGACUAUCAUGCCCUUUAUUUAAUUAGCUAUGUAGUCCAUAUGGUAGAUUGGUGCUCAACUUGAUAAUAUGGACCACACCAAGUACAUAAAUAUUAUGAAAUUGUAUUUACAUAUGAAUUUAUAAAUUAUGCUUAUACGCAAAGUUCUUCCCUGCUGUAUUGGACUUGCUUUCUUGCUAUAACAUGUAGAUAGUUCUAUAAAACAGAAUAACUUGGUCAGAGGAACAGAGUCUAGAUUAUUCAUGUUCAAAAUAUCACCUUUUAAUGCUUGCCUAGAAGUCUUAUUACCUUAUUUUGCAUGACCUUCCAUUUUAGUUCAUUGCAGGCAUCUAUGUUUUCUUUUCUUUUUUCAUCUGAUCUCAACUUUAUACUGUGCACUAGCUAGUUAACCCAUUCCGUUGAAAUGGCUCUAAAGAUGAUCUUGGAUUCUUGAUGAGAUAUUGUUCUUUGUGAACAGAAAAUAUGCUGUAGUAAGCUUUAUUUAUUAGAUUCUCUCAUAUAGGGAGAGGCUCUCGGAGGAAGCACCAAGGGUAUUCUAGAACCAUUGCAAGCUGUUGGUAAUAAAGGCUACGCUGGUUUAGGAUGGAGUCAUACCCGUGGGAAAUCUUGAGACAUCACCACUACUUUAUGAAGAAGAUCGAGAUGACAAGUAAGAUGAUAUUCUGAAUCUUAUGUGAAUCAAUUGAAAUGAAUAAUUUUUUUGUUUUGUUUUGAUUAUAGUUGUUGCUUCUGUCUCACUAACAAUAGUCACAAGGUUACCAAUCGUCCCUAGCGCAAGUGGCAAAGGGCUUGGUGGUUUGGUACUCGAGGCCCCAAGUUCGAAUCCUAGUUGAUUCACAUUUCUAGCUAAGUUUAUUUCUAAAAGAAAUAAACGAAGGGGGUAGCAUGAUACCUUCCUCUCAAAAAAAAGUAAAAAACAAUAGUCACAAGGUUCAUGGACUAAUUGCGCUGAAGUUUUUUUUUAGUGUAUAGAUUGAGUACACCUGGGACAAACCGUUCGUGACAUGUCCCGAUCUUUCUAAUUCUGAUUGACGAUUAACAUCAGAAUCUCGCUGCUCCUAUUCAUUGCUGGUCCUAUAUAUAUGUUUUGACUAUAUUGCAUUACUGUAUAGUUACAUUAGUCGUAGCGACGGGGUUUUUAAAUAACUAAAAUUCAGGACAGUUUUCAGUGAAACAAAAUUGCCACUCUUAAGGUCUGGCAGUGUCGAAAGUCGUGGAAGGGAGGACUAUUUUGCGAUUUCGUGUGAUAAAAGCAUGAUUUGGAGAGAAAAAUGGCAAGAGAGUAAUUGAGACGUUUCGUAUUUUUUUGCAAAAAGCGUGACAUUUUAUAUGCCAAAUUGUAUGAAAUUUCAUAGAGAGGAGCUACUGUGCAAAUUACGCGUGCUGGGGAGUGCUUGGUAAGAAAUUUUGAGUUUUGGUGGACUAAAUUGCAAAACUACCAAAUGUAUAUAUAAGGCAACUAGGGUUUUGGAACCUUUUUUCUGUUUCCUACUCUCCCCUAGCCGCCAUGUAACACUCAGGGCGUGUUUGGUUUGAGAUUGGAAUCGGAAUCAGAAUCGGAAUCGAAAUAAGCUAAAAUCGGAAUCGGAAUAACUCAUUAUCUAAUUCUGUUUGGUUCGUCAUUUGAAUCGGAAUCGGAAUAAAUUAUUUCCAUUGUCGGUGUUUGGUUCAGGUAGAUAUAAAAAAUAUAAUCAAAUUAGUAUACUAACUUUAUCUUUAUAAUAUAUUAAUUUAAAUUCAAAUUAAAAAUUAAAUAUUAAAAAUUUACAUCAAAAUUUUGAAAUAAUGUCAAAAUUUUAAAUCUAUUUUUUUUUAAAAAAUUAAACUUUGAAGUUGAGUGGAUAAUUCAAAAUAUAAAACUAAAUUUCGAUUUAUUCAAAUUCAAACUUAAAAUUACAAUUUAAAUUUUAAUUUGAAUCCAUAAAUUUAAUUUAAGUUUGAAAUAAAAUUCAAAUAAAACUUUAUAUAAAUUAAAAUUUAAUUUAAAUUCAAAUUCAUAAGUUAGAUUCGAAAUGCUUGAUUAAAUUUUAAUUUUUAAUUCGAGUUCAAAUUAAAAUUUAAAAUUAUAAAUUUAAUUUCUAAAUUUAAACUCAUAUUUUAAUUAAAAAUAAUUGAAAAAUAAAUUUAAUCCAAAUAAAUAUUCAUUCCGUCUGGUUUCAACUUUCAAUCUGGCCUCCUAAACCGGAUCGGAAAAAGAGGUGAUUGGGGGAUUCCCAUUCCACUUGGGAAUCAGAAUCGGAAUGAGACUCCCGCGUAUCAAACACCUACAAACGGAUUAAGAAGUUUACCUCUUGGGCAUAAAAAGUUACUACCCAAAAUGUUAUUGUCGGAUUAAGAAGUUUAGCUUUUUUAUAUCUUAUAUUUAGGACUAUUCCAAAUUGUUGGGGUGCCACAUUUCUGUCCCUUUAAGCCUUGACAUUUUCGUCAGGCUCAAGCACAUUCACAAACAUCAAACAAUAUGAGACUCGUCUCGCUAGCCUUAGCCGAUCUUGUGGCGAGCCGCACUCUACGAACAAUGGUCAUCAGUCGGGGAGCCGUGCUUUGCUUGCUGUAUAACACUGGCUCUAUUGAGACUCAUCUCACAAUUCCAGUUGGUGAUUGGCUCUAAUACUAACUGUGACGCCUCGCUUCCCAGAGGGUCACCGAUUCUAGAAUUAGGCUUAGUUUGGUAUUGAGGCCUAUCUAACACUAUUAGAUAAAAUGGAGUUGAGGAAAAAGCAUAUAGGGAUAUGCUUCUGCGUUCUUUGGUGGGACUGCAGAAAAUAUAUCGUAAUCGACUAAUUGCGAUAUGCGGAACGUAAUAUUACGUACGGAAACAAAUAUGGUAUUUUUCUAACGUACUUUCUCACCGCACGUAACGCAAUCUCCCCACAAUUUCAAACGAAGCCUUACUCUAGCUCUGGCAAGCUUGACCCUCUUAACCUCUUGAGAGUAGCCACCACCCAAAAUGUUAUAGCCUGGUUAAGAGGUUUAGCCCUUUUAUAUCUUACAUUUAGGACUACAAAUCUUGGGGUGCCACAAUGCUACAAAUGAGAGAUUCUAGCAAGUACUUAGUUCUUUAGACAUGGAAAGUGAUCCACCACUUUGGAUAGGACAACUGACCUCAAGUCGAUGCUCAACUCCCAAGGAAACCAUGAUCUACGCGCAAUCGUCCAAGUUUGGGGUCCAGUUUGGUAUGAAACCUCCAAAAUUGCCCCAAUCUUGAAACUGAAGGUCAUAACCUCGUUGUAAAGUUAAUUUUUGUUGUCCCACGUGUUAAGCUACCCUUAAAUUAGAGUUUCAAGGGUUAGAUUGUUUUAAAAUCCUAUAGGAAUAAAACUCCCAAUUUCAACCUAGGAUUACCAUUAAUUCCAAGAAAUUCUCAAGAGAAUUAUGAAUCCCCCCCAAACAUUUGUAAGUUUUGAGGAGCCCUAGGAUUUAUCUAGAUUGUAUCAAAUACCUAGAGGGGGGUGAAUAGGUGUAACGGCCAAAAACCACAAAUCUCAAUGCGAUAAAAAUAAAUGCGGAAAAUAAAAUCACACCGAGAUUUAUGUGGGAAAACUCCAACUUGGAGUAAAAAACCCACGGGACCAACACGCGAAAAAAUAAUUCAUUAAGAGAAAAGAUUACAAGAUGAUUACCGACUCCACGGACACAACCUCUCUUAACCUCCUAUGAAUCUCGCGCAAUCCUCUGGGUUGUCCACGCCCUCACAUUCGAAUCCACGAACGCCUCGCACACGUCCGAAUCCACGAAUGCCACUCGAAUCCACGAGCCCACGAUCCGAAUCCUCGAACCGCCUUGAUAACGCUGAAUCCACGACGCCGUCCAUGAAAAACAUUAUGCUAUGGUGAUCCUUCGCUUAGAGUAUCGAUGAAAACCAGAGAAGAAAACUCCAAGCGAAGAGUAGAUCAAAUUGACAUAUAGAUAUCAAUUUUCAAUAUCUCGAUUUGACCUAAAAGAGGCUUCUUUGAAGAAAAUAGGUUUUGGAAGAAAAACUAGCCUCUAGGGUUUCUCAAACAUGAAUUCUCGUGAUGCUUAAUGAGUUAGAGAACCCUAAUAGCUUAUUUAUAGACUUUAGAAUCAAUUGGAGUCGGAUUAGAAAGUUUUUCGGAUUUUUACACUGUGUAUCGGUACAAAAAUAAGUUGUUACCGGUUACACGAGGACGGAACAGAAAACUAAUAAAUCCUCGAAACCGGUUACAAGGUCAAUGUUGUACCGGAAUAGUUUUGUACCGGUACACUUUUAAUGCUGUACCGGUACACAUUGCAUUUUUCAGAUUUUGCACUGUUUCGGGUUUCACAAAGCUCCGAAGCACUUUCUAAUUCAAUAAACUUUGAUAUUCAUGAUUCUAAUGUCUAUAACUAAGUAUGAAUCACCAUAACAUGAAUUAAAACCUUAUCUUAGCAUCGUGAUUCGUAUCAUGAGUAAUUUCUGAUUUCUUCGAAUUCUUGGAUUCUUCGAUCUUCGACAAUAUGCACCGAUCCUUCAAGACUCCGACUCAAUUCACGAAACUUGCCAACACAUAAGACUUAACAACAUUUAGUUUAGAUUCUUCUAGAGUUUUCCAAAAUCUUAUUUUCUAUGUUUGCUCUAAACCCGAGCAAGGAAUCACAAGAGAACUCAUCUCUAGCUCCUUGCCACGGUAGCUCCUCAAGUUCUCAAGCUUGCUUCGCCUUCUAGAGGAGGUCGUUCACUUGAUCUUGCUCCAAGAUCUCCAAUCUUGAUGGAAAAGUUGCUAGAAAAGAGGGAGAGAAAGUUGAAGUUUUGAGAGAGAGAGAGAGAGAGAGAGAACAAGAGAAAGGGUUUCUCUUAGCUUGGGAAGUAAACGAUGGAAGAGAGUGUAAGUGGGUUCAUUUAACAAUUGCACUUAAAACCCUCAAAAAGAGAGAAAUUAUGGUCUUUAUACCAAACUCCCCUACUGUCGGAAGUCUGAUUUUCCUAUCGGAAGUCUGAUUUUCCUACCGGAAGUCCAAACCCGAAAGUUCUCCCCACAUUGCGCAACAGAAUUCUGGACAUCCAAUUGGAAGUUCGGAUCACGAAGGUUUCCUGCAACCUCACGCGGCUAAUGUUCGGACGUCUUGAGGAACAUUCGGAUCCCGAAGGUUUUUGGUCAUUUUGGCAAGCUGCAAGUCCAUACUUCCCUACCAAGGUUCGAACUUUGAAGUUUGGGGCCAUGCAAGAAGUUUUAUGAUCCGGACUUCUUGGGGGAGAUCGGGAUCCUAAAGUUUCGGGAACUCCAACAAAUUUUAGUCCUGGAAGUUCUUAUUUGCGUCGUUUUCACCCCAAUUCAGUUCCAACUUGCUCAAAACUUCUCCAAAUCAUUUAAAAUAGUAUUAUAUACUUUUUUUAUCUACAUUUUACCCAAUUUGGCUAAAGUUCAGUACGUUAUACUGAAAAUCAGUAUAUUACUAGGGCAUGGUGGGGUACCGGAGCUGGAGGAGAGGAGAGGAGAGGAGAGGAGAGAAGGGAGGGAGGGAGGGAGGGAGGGAGAGGAAGGAGGAGAAAGGAGAGGAAAUGGACGUCAAUGUCCUCCCUUUAUUUCUUUUGUUCUUUUUCCGUUAGAGAAAAUAAAAUAUAACACUAUUUCACUAUAUGUUACUCUAUUUGACAAUAUAUUUUACUAUUUUAUAAGUUUUCCAUUUAUCAAAUAGUAUAAUAUAUAGUCAAAUAGUGCAAAUUUUUAUUCUUUUUAAUGGAGAAAGAACAAAGAAAGCAGGAGGAGAAGAAGGAAGAGGACAUCGAUGUCCUCUUCCUUUCCCUCCUCCACUACCUGCACCUCGACGACGUCGUUGUAGCAACCUCGGCCUCCUCGACUUUUGUCCCACCGUCAUCAAGGGAACCCCUCCGAGAUCAUCGCCUUUGCGUCCACGUCCCAGAUCUACGACGACGCCGUGAAGGAGGGAGGGGAAAGGGUGACGAUGGCGACAAUGGCAUCAAAGGAGAUGAGAAGAGAGAAAUGAAGGAAAGAAAGGAAUUAAAGUAUUUUGAUCAGGUUUCUAAAAAUCUGGACCGAAUCUACAAAAUUCAAAAAAAUGCUCUGAUUUUGCAAAAACAUAUAGCAAUGAAAUUUUUAUGCAAAUUGGCCAAUUUUUUUGGUUUACUUUAUUUUUUUUUUCCCUCCUUUUUCAUUAGUUGGAAGAAUUUGAGGAACUUAUCUCUCAGUUGGUUUUGUUUAUAUUUUUCAAAUAUAUCUUUUACUUUCUCUUUCUUAUCAGGUUUUGAUUUGAGGAACAUGGAUUCGGGGCAGAUUCGGGCCGUAGGCGGGAGGCAAGUUUUGAAAGGGAGCGGAUUAUGUUUUUAUUUUUAUUUUUUAUUUUUAUUCUUCAUGGGUUAGAGCCGGUAGCUGCAGUAGGAUUUCGUUUGGUGGGGUGAGAGGUGGGGCAGGGCUCCUGCCCCUAGAUCCGCCCCGCAUCUCUAACGACAACCCUAAAAACGAUGCUUCCCCUAAAGUGUAAUGAUUAUGUAGAAUGUGAGGCGCAGUGGCAAGCUUAGACCGAGUUUUAAUAGUGGACAAAUGAGAUUAGAUAUUAAAAAAAGUAUUGUUGAUAUCACUAAAUUUGAUGCAUAAAACCUUCAACUCUAGAUCUUUCGUAUUAUUAGAAAACAUAUCUGUAUUGCUUGUAGAGGCAUAGUAGUUCUUGGGUGGUUGUUAGUGAUGUUAAUACAUAUCUUGCUUUAGUAGAUAUUUGUUGUGUAUCUCGUUCUUGUUUUAUUACGUCUCAUGUUGGAUCUGGUUGAGUAUAGAUCAGCUUAGCUCACUCAGUAGUUGUACCUACUAAAUCAUAGAAUUUAAAGAAUUUUUUUGGUUGAGUACAUUUUUUAAAGAAUUUUUUAGGAAUAUGUAAAUCAUAAAACUAUUAUAUGUUACUGGUGGCUAGCUAUUUUGAACGUGUAGGAAAAAUUCUAUCCAUUCAGUGUGCCUGUUGUGCUUCUGGCACACCCUGCGUCCACAACGAAAGCAUUCCGGGCAUGUGGACAAACCUGUCUAACGGAUAGAGAUUCUUUCGUUCGCACGAAACGUCCAACAAAAAAUUGCAGUAGCAAAGAAAUUCAAGAAUCAACAUCAACAAUUCCAAAGUCCACUGUCACGCCUCGAAUUAUUACGUUUUUUGAGGUACGUCAACAGAUUCGUCGUAUACAAAAUUUUUUUUUCUGUAUACAAAGCGAUAGCUGUACCUGUAUCUGUAAUCAUACAAAAUUACAACUACUAGUAUAGAACUGCUAACAGAAUUGUAAACAUACAUAAAUAAACAUCAGGUUCACGAUACAUACAGUCUCCAAGAUACAGACAUCACUCGCUUCAGCGAAUGACUAACAUCAGUAUGUACAUAAACCAAAAAUCAAAACUAUCUGUAAUUGGUACUCCUCUAGAACAGCAACAAGACUGGAAGGGAUCUAGCUCGCGACUUCAUUUUCACUAUCCAAAUAAGCAACAGCAGCAGUCGCGGACGAAAGCUCUGCAAAAAGGGGUCAACAACUGGGUGUGAGAACUACUGCAAAAAGUAGUCCUCAGUGGGUACCGCUACCGACCUCAACGGCUUUUCCACUAAGUCUACAGAAAGUAUGCUCAAGGAUAGUAAAGAAAGCUGGAAAAACUCUACAGCUACAUGCCACUAUACUAUCGCUAACCAACACUAGCUAUCUAUAAAUAUAAGUAAGAUGCAAUCUGACCCAAUCUCACUAGGUACUGUGAAUGCACUCGUCCCCACCUAUCGAAGCUACACCAACCACAACCAUGCUGGGUUGUUGGUGAAGAGCAAGUCCAAUCAGGACACUACGGCAUCAACGCAAAAGCACAAAAUCUGACUCUGGAGUGGCACUCGUGGGCACUACCCAACUGAGUAUGCAACAGUGACUCUGCCGAGCUCAAUCAGACUUUCACAGGCUAUAAUCAAAACAAAUGGGUUUAACUGAUCUAACAACUAAAACUCACGUACUCUUGGCACAAUCUGAUGCAAAUACAGAAAUUUGGGUCCACCGUCUACCGCGACGGCACACGACAAUCCGGAACAGUCUACAUCCUACUGUAAAAAUAAACUCGGCAUUCCAGCACGAGUAUAAACUCAUCCUAUACUAAUCUGGAUAUCCAUCGCAUACUAACAGUGACGAUACAAACAAACCACAACUUCUAAAGCUAAAUCUGGUAAUUUUCAGAAAGUGACAGUGUAGGAUCUAUAUGUUUUCUCCUAAGUCAAUUCCAAGUCCAACAUGUAAAAUUAAACUGCUAGCUUAACUCCAAAUUUAGGUUUAAACACUAAUCCAUGAAUUCGAGUACUAGCAAGAAAAAUACACAAAUGAUACAUGUCGACGCUAUAAAAGCUUAGGAGGUAUUCCGGCGAUUUCAGUAAACUUCAACCCACCUCGAAAUGCUAAUCCAACUACGGCGAGAAGUCGAAAGAAGGGAAAUACGCAUUCGCUCGGCCACCAACAGCGCAACCGUGACGCACGCACGCUCGAACGGCCCUCUGGAUCGACGUCGAAAAUCACCCGAGCUCGAGUCAUGGUCUCCACCAAGCAUACGAUCAAAUCUAGAGAGAGAGGAUUAUGAGAAAAAUUUCUCUCAGGUGGAUAACUAUAGAGGGGAGUAGGUACGGUGGAUAACCACCAACAAAAUGACCUCCCUACCACUUACCAACUCAAACUACAGCUGGAGUACCGGUACCCGAUUUGGUUACCGGUACUCGGCCUCUCAGCCCGCAAGCUCAUGCACAGGGUAUCGGUACCAGCCCAAUGCCGUAUCGGUACUCAACACUGAAAUUCUACACUUUACGGAUUUCAGCGUUAGAACUCCACUCUAGCCUCGCGUCGAGUCCGUUUUGCGUCCAUUUCGAGCCAAAACGACUCCGACUUGUCCCGACACUCUCCAGAUGUGUCGACAAGCCUCAGAUGCUGAAAUCCAUGGGCAACCAAACACCAAGGAUACUACAUCAUUCCCCACUACAAAAAGCUUCGUCCUUGAAACUUAACUCAUACCUCAAUCAUGAGCGGUAACUCAUACAUCCUCCCCCACUACAAAAAGUUUCGUCCUCGAUACUACAUCCUCCCCCACUCACCGUCUCCAGCUCCCACGUCGCUUCACGCUCCUCGUGAUGACUCCACUGCACUUUUACAUAGGGGAUGAUCCUGUUUCGUAAUUCUUUUGUCUCGCGAGCAAGAAUCCGCACCGGUUGCUCCUUAUAUCUCAAGUCCUCGCUAAGCUCCAGUGCGGUGAAGUCAAUCACGUGUAAGGGGUCGAACACGUAUCUCCUCAAUGCCGAGACGUGAAAAAUAUCAUGAAUGCUGGCUAGUCGUGGGGGUAGAGCAAUCCUGUAGGCUACCGGUCCAACUCGCUCCAAUAUCUCGAAAGAGCCUACAAAGCGUGGACUGAGCUUUCCACGUACUCUGAAUCUGCAUAUCCCUCGGGACAGCGAGACUUUCAGAAACACAUGAUCUCCAACCUGAAACUCUAAAUCUCGUCUCCUGAUAUCGGCGUAGUUCCUCUGUCGACUCUGGCUGUCAAAAUAUGCCAUCGUACAAUCUUCACCUUUUUCUCUGCCUCUAUUAGAAUCUCAGGUCGCAGAGUCUUCCUCUCACCCAUAUCACUCUAAUGCUAAGGGGAUUGACACCUGCGUCCAUACAACGCCUCAAACGGAGCCAUCUGAAUACUUGUUUGAUAGCUGCUGUUAUAUGCAAAUUCAACCAGUCUCAAAUACCGAUGUCAUCCUCCUUCAAAGUUUAGGACACAUGCUCUCAGCAUGUCCUCCAGAAUCUGAAUGGUCCGCUCUGACUGACUAUCUGUCUGUGGGUGAAAUGCUGUGUUAAAAUGGAGUUGUGUACCUAAGACCGUCUGAAGACUCCUCCAGAAAUGCGAGACAAACCUCGGAUCUCGAUCCGAUACUACCGAGGUAGGCACACCAUGCAAUCUGACAAUCUUAUCCAAGUAUAACUGAGCGAGUCUUUCCCUGGACUAGGUGGUCUAUACUGGUAGGAAGUGAGCAUACUUAGUCAGUCUGUCCACUAUCACCCAAAUAGUAUCAAAAUCACCCUGUGCUCUAAGUAAUCCCAUGACAAAGUCCAUCGUGAUCUGCUCCCAUUUCCACUCGGGCAUUGGCAGAUUCUUAAGCUUGCCAGCAGGUACCUGAUGCUCAGCUUUCACCUGUUGGUAAGUCAGACACUGAGCCACAUUUCUGCCAAUGUCUAUCUUCAUUCCAUUCCACCAGAAGUGUGCCUUUAAAUUCUUAUAUAUCUUAGUUCCACCGGGGUGAACUGUAUAAGGCGAGUAAUGAGCCUCUCUUAAAAUCUCCUUUCGGAUCUCUGAAUUCAUAGGCACACACAGUCGGUCCCUGUACCGCAGUACUCCCGAACUGUCUACUGAAAAGGCCUCCGCCUGUUCCCUCUCUAACUACUCUCGAAUCCUUAACAAGUGAGAGUCUCCACUUUGUUUCUCCCUGAUCCUAUCUAGCAGAGUGGGCUGCAAAACUAUAGACAUCAGUUUUACAGUAAACCCAGGGGACACUAUCUCAAGCCUCAACCGCUGUAGCUUCUCAAGUAACGGCCUUUGCUGAGUAAUCAACAUGCUCAAGCUCUGCACUGACUUCCUGCUGAACGCAUCUGCCACCACAUUCGCCCUGCCGGGGUGAUACUGAAUACUAACAUCAUAAUCCUUCAAUAACUUCAACCACCGGCGCUGCCUCAGGUUCAACUCCUUCUGGGUGAACGGAUACUUGAGACUUUUAUGAUCAGUGAAAACCUCACAAUGCUCGCCAUGCAAGUAAUGCCGCAACAACUUCAAGGCAAAAAUCACUGCAGUAAGCUCCAAGUCAUGCGUAGAGUAAUUUUCUCGUAAUCCUUUAAUUGCCGAAAAAUAUAAGCAAUUACCCUACCAUACUGCAUCAGCACACAAUCCAAACCACUAUGCGAUGUAUCACUGUAGAUCACAAAUUCUUCUCCCAUAACUGAAAGGGUAAGGAUAGGAGUUGACAUCAGCCUCUGUCUCAACUCGUUGAAACUCCUCUGACAAUCCUCACUCCAGAUAAACUUAAUCCCUUUUCAAGUCAAUUCAGUGAGGGGUGUGGAAAGCUUCGCAAAGCCUUCCACAAACCGACGGUAAUAUCCAGCUAGUCCAAGAAAACUCCUCACCUCAGUCACCGUCGUCGGUCUGGGCCAAUCCCAAAUAGCAUCAAUCUUUUCGGGUCCAUUGCUACUCCAACCGCAGAAAUCACAUGGCCCAAGAAAGAAACCUCCUGCAGCCAAAACUCGCACUUCUUCAACUUAGCGUACAACUUCUUCUCCUUCAGAAGCUGUAACACUAUCAUCAAGUGCUCAUCGUGCUCAACAUCACUCCGGGAAUAUAUCAAAAUAUCAUCAAUGAAUACAACCAUGAAUCUAUCCAAGUACGGCUUAAACACUAUGUUCAUCAAAUCUAUAAAUGCGGCAGUGGCAUUUGUCAAUCCAAAAGGCAUCACAGUGAACUCAUAAUACCCGUACCGAAUUCAAAAAGCCGUCUUGGGAACAUCCUCGGCCCUCACCCUCAACUGAUGGUAACCUGACUGGAGAUCAAUCUUCAAAAAGACACAAGAUCUUUGCAACUGAUCAAGCAGAUCAUCAAUACGCGGCAAAGGAUAUUUGUUCUUGAUGGUCACUUUAUUCAGCUUCCGAUAAUCCACACACAGUCGAAGUGAACUAUCUUUCUUCUUUACGAAUAACACCGGCGCUCCCCAAGGCGAUACAUUGGGUCUCACAUACCCCUUAUCCAUCAAAUCCUGAAGCUGCGCCUUUAGCUCUCUCAGCUCCGCCGGUGCCAUCCGGUAGGGUGCCUUCGAGAUUGGCGCAGUUUCAGGAAUUACGUCAAUCACAAACUCAAUCUCUCUAUCUGGCGGCAUAGUCGUCAACUCUGGAGGAAAAACAUCUGGAAACUCGCGGACUGUAGGAAUAUCUUCUAGUCCCGGUGCCGCCGUAGGCACCUCUACAACCGUCGCCAGAAAAGCGAUACAUUCUCUACUAAACAAUUGUCGAGUACUCGCCGACGAAAUCUAAGUGGCAAACAAUGUACUCCGGCAGCCCCUGUACGUAAACUCCUUCUGGCCUGGCUCGCGAAACGUCAUUGUCCUCGCUCCACAGUCGAUCGUAACAUAGUACCGCGCCAGCCCAUCAAUGCCAAGCACAAUAUCAAAGUCCUACAGCUGCCUUAAGACCAACAGGUCUGCGGGUAUAAUCUAAGAGCCCAACUGCGCUGUACACAACCAACAACACUCUGCUACCUGCAAAAUAUGGUCGAAAAUUUGCACCUCUCGUGCAUACAACAACAGCCCUACCUCUAGACCAUGCAAUGAUGCAAAUACUCAGCUAACAAAAGAAUGUGAUGCGCUGGUAUCAAAUAAGGUACGAGCUCUAAUACUAGAAAUCAAAAUGAUACCUGCCACCACCCGGUCGGCUGCUGUAGAGUCCUCCACCUGAGCUGUGUACACUUUGCCACUCGGGGCCUGCUGUCGCCGCUCACUCUGUCGCGGCACAGAUGCUGUUUUCCUGGCGAUAACUCUGUGAUGCUCUACGAGACUGCUGAGGAGCCGGCGGUGCUGACGCCAUCGAUGGUGCCGGUGAUGCUGCAUGGGGACAAGCUGCCCUCAUAUGUCCAAGCUGUCCAGAUCCAUAGCACCGGCCAUCACUCUGCUCACACUGUCGGGGCCAGUGUGGUCCUCCACCAAUCACACAAUGCGGAGUCCCCUGCGACUGUCUCUGCUGACGAGGUCCCCCAGAACGCUGACGUCCCGAAGAUCCACGACCCUGAGAGCGUGAUCGUGGAGGCCUCGGCGGACGCCUGCUGCUCGACUGCCCUCCAUCAUUUGAAAUCGGGAGCUUCAUAUCCUGACUCUGCCCCGGCAUCUGAGCUCGCUCACGAAUCGACACAUCACCUCGCUCUACCUACAACGUCUGUUCAAUCGACGCAUCCAAGGUCCUCAACCUCUGCGCUUGUACCGACCGAAAAAUCUCUGGUCUCAACCCUCCCUCAUACAGUUAUACCUUGUGGGCCUCAUCCCUAGCUACAAAUGGUACACAGUUCAGAAGUCGCGUAAACUCACGGGUGUACUCCCGAACUGAUUGCUUUCCCUGCUGUAGCUUCUUUAGGUCCUCCUUGAGCUUCUGCUUCACGCUGUUUGGGAAAUACGCCCCGUACAACAUUCCGCAGAACUCAUCCCACUUCAUCUGCAACCCUACCAACCGUCGAGUAUCCCUCAUCCUCCACCACCAAGAAUGCGCAUCACCAGCCAAACAGUGCACUCCCAGAUGUAUCUACUCCCGGCUCCGAUAUAAAUAAGUUCUUGAAUAGCUUCUCCAUCGCGCUCACCCAGCCCUCUACAUUCCAGGGCUUCGUGCAGCUGCCGUUAAAGUGCGGUGGAUCAAGCCGAUAAAAACGAGCAAGCCUCUCAGUCAUCUGCUCCUACUUCGCCUCAGACAUCUGCGACGCUUCUCCAGAAAUUGCAACUGGCGCCGAAGGAACUAUCACUGGUGGGGGUACAGCUGUGGCUGGUGCAGCCAUGGGAAUAGUCGAUGGUGGUGCUGACUGCUCUGGUGCUCUAGGCGCUGUGCUCGGCGGCGGAGUAAAUGUCUCACACAUCCUCUGAAUAGUGCCCCCUGCUGCCUCAUCGCCUCAGUCAGGGCAGCCAACUGCUCUCUCAGAUCAGGGGGUGCACUCGGCCUUGCAUGCUCAGGUAUCUCAGGUGGCUCAGCACGAUCCCGCAUUAGCGGUCCACCUCGGCAUCGAUACAUGGCUACCUGAAACCAAAACAAGGGUCAGAUACAAAACACAAUCAACUCUUGACCUAAUCAAGCGAAAGUCUAGAAGGAUGCCCCUGUUUCUCCUCAAAAUUAUGCCGUCUGUAGCCGACAUAAUUUUCUUGGCCGAAACAGACUCCUUCAACCACUCCACUUUAGGAUGAGUUAAAACAAUUCAAUCGUUGACUUUCGCGAUAAAUCACGCCUCUCGCGUUUUGCCUUCCUAAAGUUUGCAAAGCUUAAAGUUUCAUAGGUCCCAACGACCUAAUACUAGGCUCUGAUACCAACUUAAUCUGUCACGUCCUAAAUUAUCACGUUUCUCCGGGCACGCCAACAGGUUCGCUGUAUACAAAAGAAUUUUCUCUGUAUACGAAGCGAUAGUUAUACCUGUAUCUGUAAUCAUACAAAACUACAACUAGUAGUAUAGAGUUGCUAACUGAACUGUAAACAUAUAUAAAUAAACAUCAGGUUCACUAUACAUACAGCCUCCAAGAUACAGACAUCACUCGCUCUAGUAAGUGAUUAACAUCAGUAUGUACAUAAAACAAAAAAUCAAAACUACCUGUAGCUGGUACUCCUCUAGAACAGCAACAAGACUGGAAGAGAUCUAGCUCGCGACUCCCUUUUUAUGAUCCAAAUCAGCAACAGCAGAAAUACAUUCAAAAUGUACAAAAGCAUUACAUUCAUGACACAUUAACAUAUGACAUCUAACAUACAACAAAGGGGAGGGUGAGAGAUGAAAUUACCAUUUUGCGAACAAGGUGAGCGUGACUUCUAUGCCGAUUGAGAGCUCUGGAGGGGAAGAAGGAGGUGAUAACAGAGAGAGAGUGAUCUGUGAGAGAGAAAAAGAGGGAUUUGUGAUGAGGGGGUCACAAAGAGAGAAGGGGGUUCUAAGAUGGGGUGGGGGGGUGAGAGUGAGAGGAAGAGAGAGUUAGGGGGUUCUGUGAUGGGGUGCAAAGAGAGUGAAAAAAAGAGAGAGAAAGGUGGGGGUCUAGGGUUAGAGAGAGAAAGAGGUGGGGAAUAAAGAGAGAGGCUGUGCUGGCGGCGGCGGCAACGACGAUGACGACAGGAGGUUCGGGUGGGCCAAAGAGAGAGACAGAGAGAGCGAGAGAGAGAGAGAUUGAGCGAGAAAGAGGGGGGCAGGGAAGACAGGUCACGUAGGGAUGGUAUAGUACAAAGUGAAAACGGUGAAUGGUUCACCAUGUCUAAACACGGUAAUCUAUUCACUGUGUCUAAACACGGUGAACCAUUCACCGUGACUGGACAGAGUGAACCAUUCGCUGUGUUUAAACACGGUAAAUGGAUUACCGUCUUCAACUUAUUCCUGCACCCCCAACUCCUGCUUAUGGUGCUUACGUGGGGCUUGCGUGGCAGGAAUAGAACCAAAAUUGCAAUUAUAAACUUGGUGGGGCUAUUUGUGAAAAUAAUUUUUUUGAGGAGGCCAAAUGUAAAAAAAGCCCCCAAAAAAUUUAAAUUAAAAGAAAAAAAACUUUAGCCCAAGCCUAUCGAUCUCGGUGAGGCUUGAGUGUUCCCCUUUGAUCGAAGCAGCGAAGGUUUGUUCUCUACACUCUCUAAAUCCCUCUUCUUCGGUUUUUGCACUCAAGAUUAAAAAAACAGAAAAAAAAAAUCUCGUCUUGGGUCCUUCUUUUGGGUUUCUUUGAGCUGAAAAAGAAGGAUUUUUGUUUUGUUUUGUUUUAUUUAUCUGUUUGGAAAUUUUCUUGGAAGCCAAAGGUUUCAGAAUAGAAAUCAGAGUGUUAAGAUCGACUCUUUAUUUGAUCAGCGUUGAUCGACGUUAAGAUUCACUCGCAUUUUCAAAUAGUUUUAAAUGAUAUAACUUUCAUUCAAAGAUUACAAUUUUUGUCUCAAACAUUACAACUUUCGCCUAAAUAGUGCAACAUUCGUCUCAAAAAGUACAAUUUUUGUUUCAAAUAGCGUUACUUUUGUCUCAGACAGUGUAACUUUCUUCUAAAACAGUGUAAUUUCAUUUUCUUCUUUUUUCUCUAGUUCUUGUCCUUUCUUAUAGCAACGAUGAUACAUAAUGAUUUUUUCAGAAAAAAAUUUCUUUAUUUUAUUUUUUUAUUCUUUUUUUUCUAUCUUUUGUAUCUUUUUCUGCUAUCACGCCCUCUCCUUCCCUCUUUGCCACAGCAACCGUCCUCGUUGGAAGCGCUCUCCUGCCCUGUUGUCAUCAAAUCCUUCGGUAUCCUUCCCUCUUUGCCACAGCUACCGUCCUCGUUGGAAGCGCUCUCCUGCCCCGUUGUCCUCAAAUCCUUCGGUAUCCUCUCGCUGUCACCAUCCACUGCCUCAGCCAUGACCUCAUUGCCUUCAUCCGGUCCACCCUCACCCGUGCUCGCUCUUCCUUCUUCUCUGGUGCCGACGUCAAUGCUGACCCAUGGCAGAGGCGGAGGAAAAAGAGGCGGCGCCCUUGUUACCGCCGCCCACCGCCUCCCAGGGCAACAAAAGCAAUGGAGGAUGGAUGGAGACGAAAAAAAAGAACGAGAGAAGAAGAAAAGGAGAAAAAAAAAAAUAUUUUGUUCCAAAAAAUUCAUACAAAAUUUAUAAAAUUCAAAAUAGUGAUCUAGUUUUGCAAAUAUGCAAAACGGGGGAAUUUUUUUUUAUGCAAAAAGCCCUUUUAUUUUUUCGAGUUUCAACCCAUUCUUUGGAAAUCCUGUUAUUUCACCUAUGUACUUCUUCAUUUGCCCAAUGAAUUUUGUAUAUUUUUUUUCUCUAAAAAAACUAAGUAUUACUUGGAAGUAUUAUCAGCAUUACAGCAUAUCAGAUUAAUGCACGAACUUUUACUUAAAAAAUCUUUACAACUGCAACAGAGCAGUUUUUAAAGCAUCAAUCUUCGGUUGGUAAAAAGUAUUAAGCACAUAAUCAUUUUUUUAAGAAAUAAAUUUCAUUUUUUAAGAAAUAACUGUACAACAAAGGAGUAAAGCUGUCCAAAAUAUCUAAUAUCUCAUAUCCAAGUCAGACCCAAUAAAAAAUAAAUAAUAUACGAAUAUAAAAAAAUUCAUAUAAAAAUUUUAAGUAUACCCAACCUGAACUGAACCCGACCUUUUAAUGGGUAGGGUCUGAAAGGAUUUUCAUAUCCGAACCCAAACCCAGUAAAAUACCCGAUAAUAAAUAAAAAAAGAUUUGAAGUUGGGAUAUCAAUUUUAACAAGACUUGUAGAUGAGAAAUCUCUUUGUAUUUUUACUCUAGAAAACCUUAGCCGCCCUGUUUAUUCUUUUUUUUAUUUUACUUAUUUAUUUUACUCAUUUUUUGACCCUAGCCGCUCUGUUAACCGCUUAAAUAUUUCUUUGAACAAAUUUUAUUGGACUGGGUGCAACUGAUUAGAAUAUGAGAUUUUUCUUUUUAUAAUGACAUAUUUAUAAUUUCCUCAUGAACUUUUAAAUAAAAUCUAUAAAAAUAUAUAUACAUACGGAUACCUGCACCUGAUCUAAACCUAACCCGUACCCGUUCUUAAGCGGGUACUAUACAGGUCGUCACUACUCAUUCCCAUUCAAAUAAAUCCAAUGAGUAUAUUAUUAACUUAAAUAUCCAAAUAUGGACAUGAUUCGAAGUUAAAUAGGUAGGAUAUAUACAUAUUUUUUCUAUCUUUAUUUUUGUUUAAGGUACGGGUACAAUAUAUCAGACCGGACUCGGUCCACGGACAUCUUUACAAAGGAGUGUGCAUAAUCUCUCUGAGAAACAUCCUCUAAAAACUUCCAGUGUUUUAGCAGCAAAGAUAUGAAAUGCGGGGUCGGUAAAUUCCAAAAGCAUCCUUUAUUAAAUGUGUUGAAUAUAAUAGCUAGAUAAAUAUACAUCAAGGAAUAAAACUAUUAAAUAGCAGCUAUAGAAAAAGAGAGAAAAAAAAAGUUCAAAAUAUGGCAAAAUGGCCUCCUAGUUUGCAAUCAGCAGCAAACAAUGCAACAUGCCCAGAAUCUGAGACAAAGAAACAACCAUUUGUUUAAACUCCUUGAGUCGAGAAAUAUAGUAAGUUGCCGUUACAUAGUGCUUACCUAUUGAACACAGUACAAACCAAAAGACUGUUCAGUUGAUAAACUGCUACUUCAGGAUUUCACAGUCGACAAACUAGUGAUUCAAAAAUCAUGCAAAUCAUCGUAACGAUCAAGUUUGACAUCAAAAUUAAUUUUAGUUGCAGUGAAACAAUUUAAUAAACUAAUUUGCGUUUGAUAAGGUAACAAACAAUGUAGUACCCCAACGUCCAAAUACAGAAAACAUCCUGCACUGGAUAGCGAGGGGAACCAUUAUUUCUUGCUUCACUUGCUUAAGGACCCAUAAAACAGGACAUAUCCAUAGGCUCCUAGAAGAAUAUAAUGAAGCAGCAAAACAAAGUUUUUUUAAAAAAAAAUCAGAGAUUUUAAGUGUUAACUGGUUUCAGGCAUUGCCCCCCAUGCCGAUAAGAUAUCCGCACGAUACGAACUUGGUGCUGAUGGCAAUGUUCAAAACCCUUCUUUCUUGAAAUUAGCAAAUAGCUAUAUUAAUAAAGCAUAAAAUAUUUGAUAAAAAUAUAUAAUAAGCAAUUAGAAUAUAUUGAUGCCUAAAAAAAUAAAAUAUUUACGCCUUUGUGUUUCAACCGGCACGGCAUGGCAUCAUACGGCACCAUACCGGCGAGUGCUCGGCCAGUCCCGUGCUACAACACUUAAAUCCUGCGUCCAAAUAAAUUAACUAUUUGGAAAAAGAAAAAAAGAAGGAAUAUAACAAUAUAUCGAUUGCUGAGGCGCAAACGCAAUAACACAAAACUUAGUACUUGCAACAAACAAGGCUACUUUCCCUCAGCACAAAGCAAUAAAUAAUUUGGCUAAUACACGGCGCAACAGCCCCAUAAGAGCCUAGUUUGAUCUUAAAACAAGUUAUUUCUUUAUUUGGUUUUUUCUUUUUGAUUUCAGAUCCCCCUCAACUUAAAAUUGCUGUGAUUUGAGCUAUUUUCUUAGUCGAAUUUCCAAUUCGAUGAAAUUGUGAGUUGUUAAUAGUUAAUGAAUAGUUAAUGAAACCCGCAUUCCAUCAGGUGCAAGAAGUUCUGUUUGUUAAGUUAAUUACAUUCACUAUUAGAUUUGAUAAAAUUCCCAUUUAAACGCAAAGAAUAACUAAACUGAAAAAGAAAAAAAAAAAUCAGAAGUUAUGUCAAUCAGAACAAUCAUUGCGGCCUAUCUCAAAAUGGCCUAUAGUUGAGAGAAGCCCCUCGACAUUAACACAAACUAAUUAAAACUAUCACAUGCUUGAAAGAAUACAACGGAAUGCAUAUCGAAGCUGCUUGGAAGGUUAUAUAGGACUUUUAUUAGAUAUGGCGGCAUACCCUAAGUAACGCAACCGAUUGGAGAAACAUAUCAUUAUAUAUCAAAUUAAUAACUAGAAGAAAUGGACACAUCAACAUAAGAGGGAAUUUAACCUGCUGCUCAGGUGAAUCAAACGACAACUCAGUCCCUUAGAUGUUCUUUGAUUAUGCGAUCAUGUCCGCAGUAAUCAUUACAGGUCUGUAGGAUCAUCAUAGUUUGUCUAUUCUUCCACUGCGUGCAUGGUAGGCAAAAUUACAAAACAUCCCCCGGCACUUUGGCCAGCACCUCAAAUUACCUCUUAUUUCAGUCUAAUACUUCUUCACCACUAGCCCAAAUAGGUCUAAUAAUUUGAAAAAGAUUAUCAAAUCCUGAUUCAAAAUUUCACGAGUUCGCAUGUCACAGUGUUCUACAUUGUGAACAUCUAAUCUAAUUGCCACUUAAAUAGUAGAUAUUAAACUGGACAACGAUAAAUAUGGAUAAUACUAGCCACAAGUGAUCUGUUUCAGAGCUCGACAGUAAAAUGUUGAAUAAACUAAAGUGCCAGUUGUCUUCUUUUCUUUUGUUUUCUUUUUAUCUUGUAAUUUAGCUCACACAGAUAGAUACCCAAAAAAAAAAAAAAAAAGGAAUCCGAAUAGGCAAAAAAAAAAAAUUUAUAUUAGGAGAAGCACGGAGAUAUCAAUGUUGCUUCAAGGGAACGAAUCGAUCGGGCAAGAGAUAAAGAGCGCCGGUCGACCAGAUAAAGAAGCGUUGUUUCGAUGCCAAAGAAAUGCAAAUUUUAAAUGCAAAGUACCUUCAUCGAAGAACCCAGAGAGAGAGAGAGAGAGAGAGAGAGAGAGAGAGAGAGGAGGGGAGAGAGGAGAGAAGACGAUUACGGGAGGAAAACCCGUCGUUAGGACUGGGAAUUGAUUGUCUUGGCUAUGGUUUACAUUUAUAUGGAGGCUGGACGAGCAGGGAUCUCCGGGAGGUGCGGACGGCUUGGAUUAUUAUUGAGAUUAAAAAAUUAAUCUGUGGAAACCCUAAUUUCUGAACUGGGCCGAAGGCGACAAAAUACAAAAUGGACCGGCGUUCCCUUGCACAAUGCAGUGGAUUUAGAUCUAAAAUAUUUUAUUUAAUUAAAAUUUAGGGUUAACUACUCCUGUGAUUUCGCAGUUUCUUACUUUAGUACCAUAUGAUUUAAAAUGUAUCAAUUUAGUACCUAUGAUAUCUUUCUCUCUUUUCAUGAGUUUCUCCGUUAACUUUUUGUUAAAUUAUAUAUAAAAAAUUUUAGAUAUUACACAUAUGGCUUAUUGAAUAUUCACUUUAGUAUUUUUUAAUUUUAACUUUGUCACUGAUUUAACUAAAAAAAUUAAUGAAGGGGAGAACAAAAAGAGAAAAAUAAAACCACAGGAUACGAAAAUGAUACACUUUAAACCACAGGAUACUAAAAUGAGAAAGUGCGAAACUAUAGGGGUGAUAUUUAAAGUUUUUUUCUAAAAUUUAGUAAUAGUUUUUUUUAGAAUUAAUGUAUAUACAUCAACUCGACCAAUUUUAAAUGUAAUUGAAAGCUGAUUUGAGGUAAUAAUUCAAAUUAUUUUUUAUUUAUUUAUUUUUUUAACUAAUUUAUAUCUAUCUAUAUUUGUACUUGUUGAGCCCAUAAGGCGCGGCCAGCUGGUACGCCGACGCUCCAAUUAAAUCCAACCGGUAAAAGCAAGGAUUAUAAUGUGCACCAAGAGUUUUGAAAUAAAUUUAAACAACCGCCGGAUAAUUAGGGUGAGUUAUAAUAACCGCAAGUGGUUAUAAGUGGUUCCGAUCGGCUGGAAAUGACCCAGAAAAAUAGGAGUAGUGGUCGAUCAUGGAUGGGGAGUAACUGAUUAAUAGGGGCGAUCUAUAAAUAGGCAAAUAACGCCCUGAAAAGAGUUCCUUUCCCCGAGAACAGAAGACCACCUUUAUUUCCGCUGCAAUUUUCUUGCAUUUUUAGGAGUAGUCUACCUGUAACCCUUUACUUUCCUGCACUUACUGUUUUUCCCUAGGAGUAGAUUUAGGCUAGAUCAAUCGAGUCUGUAUGUCCUCAGCAACACUCGACCCUUGUACUGUUUUUAUAAGUUGACUUCAAUAUAUAAAGGCAUUCGGCUCAUCAGCCGACCUAAAUUUCAGUUACAUUCGGCUCAUCCAGCCGAAUCGAUUCUAUAGUAAGGGGUUCUGAACUUGGCUGAUCCGAUCCCUCAUCAGCCGAAUCGCUUGAUCCAGUUGAAUGGUGCAAACUUCAAGGUCAUUAAUCGUAGCCGCUUUGCAUCCCAACACAUUUCCCGAGAAAGAUCUUUGACCAGGUUAAAGAGAGGCAAAUUCGGCUCCUAACAAUUUUUGCCACGUCCGGUCGGACACCAAUUUAGGUAAAUUUAUAUUUUAUUGAAAUUAUGGCUGAUGAUAACGCCAUGAAUUUAUGCAAUAGGGUCGUUCCUAGAAAUUCUGAGAGCGAUCAACCUAGCAAUUCGGAUAAUGCUGGAGAACGCUAAGCGGUCUUGCCUGUCGAGGGUGAAGUCUAGUGGUCAAUCUGACCAACAAGAGCCUAUUUUGGCCCAAACGCUUGGACAAAUGACAUGGGUCAUACAAGUAUUGGACUAAAAUAGUUAUAGAAGCACUGCACGGUUAGACGCAGUAUUGGCCGCAAUCACAGCCUCCAACGAGAAUAUUGCCCGAAUAGGGCAAUUAUUGACUUGUAAUGAACAACCUGUAACAGGCUUACUUGUAAUGAACAACCUGUAACAGGCUUACAAUGGCCUGUAAGGACACCGGUGUUACAAAAUUCUGUAACACCGGCAAAUAAUCAGCCUCAAUACCAGGGGGCACCAUUUCAGGUGGCUUACAGACCGGCUGUUGUUAAUGCCGGUCAACAGCCAUAGAUAGCUUGGGGAUUACCACCUCCUCCAUCAGCGGCAGCAUAUCAACCCCAAAAUAUAGGGGCUAGAGCUGGGGGACAGGCUUAUGCCGUUCGGUUUAAAAAAUGCCGGAGCUACCUAUCAGAGAGCGAUGAAUUUUAUUUUUCAUGACUUGAUUGACAAGAUGUUGGAGGUUUACAUCGACGAUAUAGUUGUAAAAUCCAAAUCGCAAGUCGAUCAUUGGGCGGAUUUAAAACUCGCUUUUGAAAGAAUGAGAAAAUAUAAUUUGAAAAUGAACCCUUUAAAAAUAUACUUUUGGAGUUUCAGCAGGAAAUUUCUUAGGAUUCCUAGUACAUAAAAAAAGAGAUCGAAAUUGAUAAAAACAAAGCAAAAGCUAUAGUAGAAUUGCCGCCACCAAGAAAUAAAAAAGAGUUGCAAAGUCUAUUGGGAAAAAUUAAUUAUUUGCGGCGAUUCAUAUCAAACUUGGCCGGUAGAAUAGGAGUUUUCACUCCAUUAGGAUGCUUGUUGGCUCAAGAAAAUGAAGAAAAAGAAAAAAUGCCAUUUACUAUCUAAGCAAGCGACUGUUAGAUGCCGAAAAAUGAUAUUCGACAAUUGAAAAAUUAUGUUUGGCUUUAUACUUUGCCGGUACAAAAUUAAAAUAUUAUAUUUUACCAAUCGAAGUAUCGGUUGUAAUGUAUUAGAUUUUAAUAUAAAAUUAAGUGUAAAUAAAAAUAGUGGAAGAUACUAUUUUUAUUAGACUUAAAGAAGUAAAAUAUAGGUCGGAGAUGACUUGUGUUGAAAUCGGAAUUGAAACAGAAGAUUUAAAAUUUUCUGUAAGGAACGGGGCUGUUAUUUUAGCAGAAAAUGCACAGUGUCAGAAAAUUAUAAAAAUUUGAAAAUAUAUUAGGAUUAUUUUUAGGAGGUUAGAUUUAAAGUUUCAUGUCAUUCCAACACCUGAAAAGUGAAAAAUAAAAUCUGACUGCUAUCUGCUAGAGAUUACAGUUCGGUAGAGCUUUCAGUGACCAAAAAUGGUCAAAACUAGAAAGUUAAGAUAUUUUCUUUCUUAUUAGUUUAAAUCGAGCCUGACUGUCAAAUUUGAGCGCAAACGGACAUUCAGAAGGGCUCCGGCGAAAAGGAACAGAUUCUGAGCUGCUAAACUGAAAAUUGUGUGUUGUUGAGGGGCUAUUUUAUAAAAGGGAUUUUGAU
rnacentral:lncRNA from 1 species